rnacentral:lncRNA from 1 species
GAAUGAAAGCUGACGAAGCCGAGGAGCUCGAUGAUGGUAGAAGAACAGUCGAGGAAAGAUUAAGAGUUGCAGCAGAGAAGGUAAGCGCAUGGAGAGGUAAGCAAGAACAAGAGAGAGGAGCGAACGCUGUCACCAGGAGCUUCUCCGAGUUGCCAAAUCUAGACGGCAUUGGAGAACAGGAAACCUUCACAAGCGAGACAGAAGAGGUUCUUCAUCGGAGUCCAGUGACAGUUCCCAAGCUGCACAAAAUGUCAAGAUCGAAAACCAUGGAUUCCAAGACCGACUCAAGACGAAAGAAGAGAUCGUUCUUCCCUCGGGUGGCCUCGUUUCUGAGCAGAGAAAAGGUUCAACCACUGAAGGAAUAGGAGUUGAACUGUCCUUACAAUUCUCGACAAAGAAGUGCAUGCAGCUUGAUCUAUUCUUGUGGUUAUCCACCUGAUAUGACAUUUUAUGCUGAAUCUAAGUCUCAUGCUUGGUUUAUUUUUCGCUAGGAAUUGAAAUUACACAGCCUUAUUUACAGCAAGCGUCUUCAUUUGGCUUAAUGGAUGGGAUAGACCUGAGAAUAAGAGAUAGAACAAUCUCUUAUUCUUUUAUGCUAAUCUCUUAUCACAGAAUAAAUUUGAUCCAAUUCACAAAUACAAAAUUGAAAGCUCUUCACAGAAUAAAUCUGAAAUAUGGACAACGAAUCCAUAUAUAAAUCAUAUUUUAUGAGAAUGAUGCAUGGAACAUCACCUAGCUACUGAUAUGAGAUCAUCCAACAUCAUAUUUUAUCGUGAUUCAUGCACACCAGCAUCUCAUUCCUGCCAGCCGAUUCCAUCGCAUCUGAAAUCAAGAACUAUUCAGACUUAUCUUGCGGAUUGUUCUUCGUCUAUCAGCUUUCCGACCGACUUCAUUAUUGGAAUAAAGGCAUCAAGUGGCAGCCCUUAUCGUCGCUUUAUACCAUUCCUCUCCUUGCUCGAUCACCGAGACCCACCCAACAUAUGCCCACUCGCUGUAGAUUUCAAUAGCUUUUCUAGCUAUUGCUAGAAUCCUUCAUUCUACCCAACCAAAAGGAAUUCUUUUGCUCGAGGAAUAAAGGCGAGUCUUCCAGCUUGUGGAACAAGGUGACAAGCGCUUUGGCUUAUAAAGACCCUAACUUGGAUGAGUAUUGAUGCAUCGUUCGUUACCACAGAGCACAGUGCGAUGGCCAUCAGGAACGCCACCCCGAGGUCCUUGGAAGGGGACAUGACGGUGGAUGAGUUCAAGGAGUGGCUGAAGCGGUUCGACACCGACAGAGACGGCCGCAUAAGCCGCGAGGAGCUGAAACGGGCCAUCCGCAGCAUCCGCGGCCGCUUCAGCGGCUGGAAGAGCAAACGUGGAAUCAAGUACUCCGACGCCGACGGCAAUGGCUUCAUCGACGAGGACGAGUUCGACAACCUGGUGGACUUCGCCCAGAAAAGUUUGGGUUUGAAGAUUGUGUCCUUUUAGUUCUACGUCGCAGUAUAAGUGUCAUCUAUUAUCGUCGUCAUGUUGUCUACGAGCCAUAAAAGCUUUGUAUUGCUAAUUACCGAGCUUGUUCUGUAUGUCUCAAGCUUUGUUUCUCUGGCAUGAAUUCUAUCUACUAUGAGUACAGCAGGCAGUGGGUUCACUGUGAGCUAUUGGUGUUGAGGUUCUUGCUGCUACCUGUAAUCUAACAUCAAGUUAGGCUCAGAUCAGAACUUCGAUUCUUGUUGAUUAGGUGUAAUCGUAGAUGAUUCUUUGUGGAUCGACAAGGAAGCAAAAACAUGCACUUACAACAAAUCACCUCUUUAUGCUAUGUUUCAUAAUCAAAUCAAUAACGCGAUGACAGAUCAUAUUCUAUAUGUUUUCACAAUUUUAGCGUGAGAAAUGUCUGACAAUCCUUUAGGAAACACCUAAUUUUAAACGUUUGUUAUGUGAUGAGAUUGUAAAGCCAUAUUAGAUCAUUUUCAUGUGUAAAGUAAUUUUUGAUAUAGUAGACUCUUACGACCGUUAAACUAUUAUAUGUUUUUUUUGGACUUGAUUGUAAUAAUGUGAUGUAGUUUUGGUUUGAUUAAUUCGAUCAUGUGGUAAAAUUUCAUCCUACGUGAUUUUAAAGUGUCAAGCACAUGUUAAAUAUAUGACUAUGAAAUAUCAAACACGUGUUAAUUAUGUGGUACUAAUAUAUCAAUCAUGUGAUGUUGAAGUGUCGAUCAUAAUGCUAUAGUAUUGAUCGCAAAGCACUAAAAUGUUGAUCAUGUUAUUAUACAAAAAUGGAACGUUGGGAAAUAAGAUAAUAUUGACCAAAUUACUUCUGUUUCCGUUCCCACCAUCAAAGUUUCUCUUUGACCAUCGACCAUCCUUGCCCUCCUCCAUAACUAGCAUGGCAUGACCUUAUCCACUCAUUUGACCCAUUUAAUAACAUAGAGAGAGAGAGAGCCUUGCGAUAAGGAGAACAAAGCAAAAGCCAGAGACCAAUUGUGCAUGCCUGCAACCAUGAAAAAGGAGGCAACUAAGUUGACCAUUCCGCAGUUUAGAUAGGAGUAAGAACACUUGGAAUCUAUCUCUUGUUGGUGACUGUUCUACAGUCGUAUAGUCAAAUCCUAUCUCCAGCCUACCGCACAGUCGAAUGCAAUCAUGAACAAGGUGGUGGUAUUGGUAUCCAUAGCAUGGGCGAUGUGGCUGGAUAAACAACCAUGAAGUUGCAGUAAAUUGCUCGAGUAAAAUACACGGGCAUCGUUCAGCCACGUCAACCCUGCCGCACAGCAAGGUUUGACCAACCAUGUUACGCGUCAUUUUACAUGAAAAAUAAUCAAUAAUAUAUCGACAGCAAAAAAAAAAAAGUAAGAAUUCGUCGUAAUGUCCGAUGUAUAUUUCAUCUUUUGUUUCAACUAUGAAAUGAAGUUUCGAUUGAUGAGUAUUGCUGUCAUGUAUAUUUUGUGCGUGUUUCCGAAAUUAUCAUAUGUCUAAUUCAUAAUCAAUUUUCUCCCCCAUUUUUCACAUCUCGCUAACUUUCCACGUUGGCAGAUCCAUUUUGGAAAUUUAAAAAAAAUAGAAAAUGACAUCAUCGUGGGCCCCCUUGCGAUGUGAGAUAACGGAAACAGCGGGUGAGACAUCACGUGGUCUUAUCCAGCUGUCCUCGUCGCCAGCUCACCAGCUUUCCAAUAACAAACACGUCAAAGACCGGUCAACGCAAUCCCCACCGCCACCUUGUUCGCUUACAGUAAUAACCCUGCCCGUGGCCCCCACGCCUUUUUCUCUCUCGGCUUCGUAUCCCAAAUUACCUCGCGAAUUCGACGCUGACAGGAGGAAAUAGUUGCGCUCUUCGGCCGAGUCGUGGGUUAAAUCGGGACUGAAGCCGUGGUCUAUGCGGUCAAUCGAGAAGUGACUCUACUUUCACAGUGGCUUCGUCUUCCUAUUGGUAGGUGAGACAGUCCGGACUGCCCAUUCCAACCCCUCGCUCUUCUUCUCUUAUGGUAUUAUCAUCGUACAUAGUAACUCAUCCCAUCAGAUCCUUUUCGAGGUUAAAUGUUUUUUCUAGGGUAAUAAAUUUAAAAUUGUGAGUUAAUAAGUCUCAAUAUGGAACACAGUUUCUCCAUCAUUACAUUACCACUGGCAAUAAAUUUCUUUUGAAUUCUGAGACAACACACUGAACCCUAAAAUGGUGACGCCCUGUUCGAUCGUGUUAUAGCAAUUCCAUCUACAUAAAUGCGAGAACAACCAUAUACUACUGGCUUACAGACACCUUAACCAUAUAGAUGGUGAAAGAUAUAGAUAUAGUACAUGUCUAGAUGCUACUCUAACCUAUCUACACUGCAGAACCACAGGCCUUACGUUAUUAAAUCCUCAGUUCCACUGUUCUCUAAUGGGAGGCUACAUCAACUCGAGCCAAAGUAGUGGUACUAUCAGAUCCCUCAGUGUACACCACACCUACACACGAACAAAUUCUCUUGUUUGUAUGUAGCCAUUGCUUGGUAGAGCCUGCAGGUUCUUUCUUGAGGGAACGGAUGAGGCGAAGCUGAUCAGAUCAGGGUCAUUCUUCGGCGGCAUGCAUUGACAUGUUCAACCCGGACCACCCGAGCCUCUGCGGCGGCGGCGGCCCACCCGCUCCGCCGAUAAGCCCUCGCAUCUCUUUCUCUUGUGACUUUGUGGUGGAGAGGCCAACCGCGCGCGUUCCCGGUCCCCCGCCUGACCCCAACUUCGAGUUCGCUGUCGGCAGCCACCCGAUGAUCGCGGCCGACCAGCUCUUCUUCGAGGGCAGGCUUCUUCCUUUCAAGGACAACUGCCCUUCUGGUUCCCGCAGGAGCGUCACCACGCUCCGUGACGAGCUCCGCGCCGCCGGCGAGGGCGGCGGGCAGCAGCGGGAGCGGCCGUCGAAGGGCCCCAUCAAGUGGAAGGAGCUUCUCGGGCUCAAGAAGCCACGUGGCUCCGCGGCGAAGAAGAUCGAUAAAAGCGAGGGUCCUUCUGGAGCUGCGGAUGACCAUCUCGGAAAGUCUAUGCAGGUCGGUGGCAAUAUUUUCUGAACGAGGAACCACAUUGCUUCGCUCUGUUUAUGUACCUUCUUCUAUAUCCUACGCUAUGCUUCCUCUCCUGAGACUUUUAGGCUAUCUUCCUGUCAUCUCGUCCUUGUUAGGGUUUUGCUGCAUGUAGACGCAAAAGACACUGUUGGCAGUAGCAGCUAACUAGUCAAUACCCUCGCAAAGAUCACAAACACUGAUGGGACUUGGUCAUCUCUCUUUUGUUUCUUUUAGGGGCUAUGAAAACUAGAGGAAAACCUGAUCUUAAUGCUGCAACGGCAACAGUCCACUUAAGCCAGUGGGAGAAGUAGCAAUGCUUUCUCUCCAUCUUCGUGCUGAUUCUUUGUUGUUCCUUAGGGUGGAGUUGGAUAGACACUCCUAGCAGAAGCCGGUUGGAAAGGCUAUGGUGGUGGUGUUUGUGAGAAGGAAGUCUGUUGAUGGUAUUAACUCGCUCAUUAAUCUGUAUAUUGUGGAAGGAAACAUAUGCAUUGUUUUAGAGCCAGGGAUGUAUGUAUCAGAUGAGCUGUCUCUUCUCUUCUUCUGUAUAAAUGUCUGUGGCUAGCAAAUUUAUGGUGCGAUGAAUGUGAACCGGAGAGACGAGGGUCUUUUAUGGCUUUGAUGUGGCAUCAAUCUUGUUUGGCCCCUCCUUGGUGGGCAACAGUGCUACAUUUGUCUCGUAGGUUCAGGUAGGAGAGAGAGAUCAGGAAGGACAGUACCACAGAUUGGGAGAGAGAUGGAGUCAUAAUAUAUUUCGAAUGGAUUCGCAUGCAUCCACGACACAUUAUUCAUUUAUGUCACGUAUCUGUUGCCUCUGCGACUUGAAUUGUUUUCGCUGCUGUUGCUCUCGAUAGAGAGUUGCAUCACGGGAACAGGAGAGGAGGAAGACGACAAUAAAAAUGUUUUUCUUGUGAGAAAUUAAAAUAAAGUUGAUUUUAAGCAGUAGAGAGCAUGAAAAUUAAUUUCUAUACGGCGAGAAAAAUAGACGAUAGAGGUUUAGAGAUCUGUGACUUUAUUAAUACUACAUAACACAUCAAAUAAAUAAGACUCUCUCUACAUAAUGUUUCUUGAUGAUCGAUUCAUCCAAACAAUCGAUUAACUAAAUAUGUGAUUCAAGCAAGUCUUUAGGAACGAUAUUUACAGAACGCCUUUUGAGAGUUUAUAGAAUAUUUGAUUAAUUUACGAAAUUAUUUAAUUAAAGAAAUAGAAAACGUAGCUAUUAUCAAUCACACACUGCACAACGUCCACUUUUCACGCUUCCCCGUACAGCAGCGGUACUGUCCAUAUAACUCGAGGCUUGUACUUAUCUUCGGCCUCAAAGUUUGCAAUUGAAGUCCGCAUGUUAUGUACUUUUCCAGCCAGCCAACAGCCGAACCAUAUAUAUAUAUAUGUAUAUAUAUGUAUAUAUGUAUAUAUAUAUAUAUAUAUGUAUGUAUAUAUAUGUAUAUAUAUGUAUAUAUGUAUAUAUAUACAUAUAUAUGUAUGUAUAUAUAUAUGUAUAUAUGUAUAUAUGUAGAGAUAUAUAUAUAUACAUAUUAUAUAUAUAUAUAUAUAUAUAUAUAUAUAUAUAUAUAUAUAUAUAUAUAUAUAUAUAUAUAUAUAUAUAUAUAUAUAUAUAUAUAUAUAUAUAUAUAUAUAUAUAUAUAUNNNNNNNNNNNNNNNNNNNNNNNNNNNNNNNNNNNNNNNNNNNNNNNNNNNNNNNNNNNNNNNNNNNNNNNNNNNNNNNNNNNNNNNNNNNNNNNNNNNNNNNNNNNNNNNNNNNNNNNNNNNNNNNNNNNNNNNNNNNNNNNNNNNNNNNNNNNNNNNNNNNNNNNNNNNNNNNNNNNNNNNNNNNNNNNNNNNNNNNNNNNNNNNNNAUAUAUAUAUAUAUAUAUAUAUAUAUAUAUAUAUAUAUAUAUAUAUAUAUGUGUGUGUGUGUGUGUGAUGAAUUUAUAAAACAAUUAUAUUUUUAUAAAACAUAAUUCCACCUAAAUGUUUCAUUCUUGCCGUUCUCACCUAUGACACAGAUAACCACUAACACCAGUCACUCUAACUCCACUAUGUUCUACCGAAUCUAUUAUAACCUCAUCAUUCCUUGCUCGUAGCCCCCUUAGGGUUGGGUUCGAGGAGGGCUAUCAGAUCCAUAGAGGUAGGGGUAGGUCUAGCUAGGAUAGAGGGGAGGGGAGUUAGGGUGAUGGGGGGUCAACGAUCACUUAUGCAGUGAGUGAAAAUGACAAAGACAAGAUGCAUAAGGAAAGAUUUGAUAGGGUAUAUAGAGGUAAGGGCAGGUUUGAAGAUGACAAGUGGGGUUUGUAGAGCUAGGAGCGAUGUAGUGAGAUGAGGGCGACGAUGCAAGAUGAGACGAGGGUAAAAUGAUCUCUUUAUGCAAGAAGGGAUGCUCUGCAUAAAAUUGCAGAAGUCGGGAUACUUUACGAAAAUUUUCUCAAAACUAUUUUUUUUAAUAUACACGUAAAAUUUUAGCAUGUGGUUUAAUUUUAUUUAAUUUUUUGGGUAAAAUUAUAUAUAAAUCCCUCUAAACUCAACAGCACUUAAGUUUUGAUUAAGCAUAUCUAUAAGAAACAUACAAUAUUGUAAAUAUAGCCCUGUAGUUUAUCUUCUUUAGUUGGAGAAAUUCUAAUGGCCUAUAAAAGCAUAAUUGCUUACUAAUACGAUGGUAUCAAUAUUAGAUGCCUCGAAGUAGUUGCCAUCAAAUAUAGUUAUAAUUAGAAGUACUUAAGUUGAGUUUUAUGAAUAAUCAUUGAAGGAUAUAUGUAUGAUGUUAAUAUUUUGAAUGGCAUAUAAGUUUAUAUUUUUUCUUUUCGUCGUUGUUGUUAUUGUUUCUUGAUGGAUAUUUUACACGAGCUGGAGUUUAAAUAAAUUUAUCUUAGUCUUAUCUCAGUAAAACAGUGAUCCAUGACAUAAGGUUAGACAAAUAUGACUAAUAUGUAUAAUGUUGAUAGUAAAUUCAAUAAGCCAUUAGAAUUUCAACUACUAAAGAAGAUAAACUACUUGGCAUAAAUCGAACAUAAAGUAAUAACUUGACUUGAAACGAGAAAAACAGGAUUACUUUGUGUAUAAACAUAUUCUUAUUUCUCAUAUCGUGGAAUUUUAUUACUCCUAAAUUUUCACUCAUAACCCUCAGUCAUUCCUCUCAACCAUCAGAUAACGUAAAUUGCGUCUACCAACGGUCUCAUGAUCCGAACAUACUUACAACUCCUCUCAACCGGCGUUCUACUUCGAUCAGUAUCAUAUCCGUAUCUCUUCACGUGUAUUGCACUAUGAACAGCUGUACUUCCGAGAUCGGCACGUGGUUUGCUUUCACACGGAUUGCAUUUCUACUUUGGAAACCUCAAAACAUAAAUUAUAACGAAAUUAUGAUUUUUUUGCGUCCACAUAUUAUAUAUUUGUUGUACUGAUAUGACGGAAAUAUUGAUGUCGUAUAUUAUAUAUUUAGCAAAAGAAAAAAAAAAUCUCGUUCCCAAAGGUGAGAGAAGUACCAAAUCACAUCAACACGAUGAUUUGUCCCCGUUUUUCUGUGACCCACGCUCCUACCUACCAUAUGAGCUCGAGUUUUAGUGGGCCCCAGCGCCAUCAUCAAUUACAAGACAGGUACAAGUAUGAACGCUAUCACUGCUGUAUCAGUACCAACGUUGUGCUGCCGGCAUAAGGCGGAAGUUAUGAAAUGACGGAGACGGGCCCCACCGGGCCCCCGCUUGACAGUCACUGACAUGAAGCCAAGCCGGUGGAGUUCUUUGACCAUUAUCUGAUUCCCACCGUAUGAAUACGGCAGAUUUCAUUUUUCGAUGUGGUUGUCGUCUUUCGACCUCUUUGCUCCCAACCCUAAUUGAUUCAUCCCUUGUUCGAGAAAUCGCCCGAACCCUAGAUUUGGACUGGUCCGAAGAUGGAGCUAAAGCCCGGAAUGUCGGCUAUCGUCACCGGUGGUGCCUCCGGAAUAGGUAUGUCCCUCUCUUUCCUUCAAGUGUGGUAUGAUUACCCUGCUCUAGUCGAAGAUUGGAUCGUAAUUGCUGUGUUUAUAUAGCUUAGAGGAUUAGAAGAUUGAAUCGUUGAUCGCGUGUUUAUAUCGGUUUGGGAUGAAUGUUGUUAUCAUUUCAACGUAAUUUUCGAUCCUGCGCGUGAUUUGAGACUCUUUUGCUAAUUGAAUGUUGAUGCGAAGUUUAUGGAUGAUCGAUGAUCCACAUGACAGGAACUGAAAGAAUAUACGAGAGAGAUGUUCAUUAAAGUUUUAUCACCAGUGAUAUACGUAACGCUAAGUUUACUUUGUUGAUUACCUGUUGUUUCUGUUGAACCAUUUGUCGAUCUUCUGAUGUCGGACUUUCGUUCUAUUUCAUUUUGUCCCUGGGUCUUGUCUCGAACCUUUUUGAUUUCGUUCUUGUUGAGAGGCGGAUCCUGGGAGGUGCUCUUUGUAAUAAAGUUGUCAUGGAGGACCGUUUAAGUUGCUAUUACCAUUUUGUUCUGUAUUGUGCUUCUUUCUGCAUAAGGAUUAAACAAAAAAGUGUGAUACUCAUAAUUCCUUGUGUUAAUUAUCAAGGAUUUAAUUGCCACCGGCUGGAAGUAACAGCAAGUUUGUGCCAAUUGCCAUUGGGCAGCUUCCAACCAGAAUGAAGUGUGCUGAUGGCAACCACGGUGUUGAUUGAAACAGAAUGCCCAUGAAGAUUUAAAAAAAAAUGUGAAUGCCUUAAAUUAGUAAAAAUGGAUAAACCUAUAUGUCCUUUCCAACAGUAUAUUUGCAAAAUUUGAAUCUUAAGGCGCCUAGGCGAGCGCCUAGUGCCUCGGGGAUUUUGGGACCUUGGCGUCUAGCGCUUUUUAAGUCACUGUUUAAGAAUCAAGAUAUAUAAUUCCAGGUCGGUGCUGAUACCAAUCAAUGUCCAGAUGGAUAUAGCUUUUGCUACAAACCGACAUACUGAUACUUCAAUACCACUCAGUCCAAUAGAGCAGGGAAGAAUAGGGGAGGAGGACGAGGAGGAGGAGGAGGAUUGCCGGAUGGGGUGUGAAAAGGAGAAGGAGAAGAUGAAGGAGGCAGAAGAAUAGGAGGUAAAGAAAUGGAGUAAGAGGAGAAGAAGGGGGAGGAAGUGUCAACCUAAUGAUGAAGCAAUGUGGCAGCAACUUGGCUCUUGAAAUAGGAGGAAAAGGUAGAGGAGGAGGGGACAGAGAGAUGAAAAGAGAAAGAAAGACAGAGAGAAGUGUGUGAGGAAAGCUAAAAAAACAAAAUAACAAAAAAAAAAAACCGGUCAAGAGUUGUCGCAAAGAAAAAGAUAAGGACAACAAGUGCUAGACUUCUCAUCUGAUACACCUAGUUUUGACCAUAAUGUGCUCAUUAGGGUUAUCAGGUGGUAAUCCCUUUCUGGAAUGAACCAAGUGAAAUUGUCUGAUUUGCAUUGGUUGGACCAGUUCAAUUGGUUGGUUUCUGAUACCUGAUAGUGGCAUUUGAGUCUUUUCUAUUUUGACACGAAAAAGAAAUAAUUUGACUUAGAAAACAUACUAAGUUUUUCCUACUUAUCAGUGUCCAUUAGUCCUUUUCUUACCAUCAUCUCUGUGGGUUCAGGCCUUUGUGCCACAUUGGAUGGCUAAAUGAUCAAGCUACCCUCCACUUUCUCUACUUCCUUGUUCUUUUCAAGCAAAGAUGUGAAACAAUUAGUAAAAGAGUACAUUGGUUCAAAAUAAGGUUAUAAAACAUGUGAGGACCAUAUAGGAACAUUAUAUAUAAAUGUGAAUCACCCAACAUGGAAUAAUAAUUAUGUUCAGGGAUCACUGAUUUUGAUGAACUUGUAAUAUCUUAUAUAAUUUAGAAACAAGAUGUUACUCCCUCCACCUAAUUUGAAGCUCUAUUGUUGUUGAGACAAGGUUUCAAGUUUCAAUUGGAAACCUAUACUGAUCCCUCGCCAGACCUUUAUGGGUUAUGGGUCAAGUACCUACUAGCAUAUUACAUGGUACAUCGGCAUGCUGGUUGACAGAGACCAAAAAGAAAGAUGGAGAAAUGAUGAGAGAAGGAGCGGUUGGGCGGAGGGGGAAGGGGAGGAGGGCAAGGAUGCUAGGAGGAGGAGGAAGAGCCGCAGAUGCUGUGUGGGGGCCUGCUGUUGACAAUUGACAACCCUGAUGAUAGCUGAUAGGCUGUCCAAGUAGAAAAAUAAAUUAAGUUUUGAAUCAGAUCAGAUAAAAUUGCGUGGUUCAAGUGCUAAUCCUGGUCGGAUCGGUAAAUACCGGUUGGUACUAACUGGUCAGAUUAGCUUUUCUAAACUUUAGUUAUAGGUAUCUCAUAUUGAUUAGUUUUCUUUUUUAGGGACAGGGCAAAGUGCAGGAUACCUAUUUUAUGGUUAUGAUUUCAUGUUGCCUCGUACAGUUUACUUCAUGAUACUUAACCCACCUUAGGUUUUCUUUGUUUGUCAGAAUACCUUUUCAUUACCAACCUCAGUAGAAAAUUAAAUUAUGGCUAAAGAAAUCUUGAUCAAGGAAUGUCAUAUCAUGUAGUGGACUCAAAUUGAUUGCUGCCCGGACUGGUACAUACCAGUUGGUAUUGGUAUUCUCGACACAUGGUAUACCAGUAUGCACCGGUGUUUCGAAGAUGAAGAAGGACAAGAGGAAGGCACAAUGGAGGAGGAGGACAAAGAGGAAGGAAGAAAAGGUGGUGGAGGAAGAGGAGGAGGAAGAAGGAAGAAGGAGGAAGAGGAAGCAGUGGAGGAGGUGGAAGAAGGAAGAAGAGAAGGAGGAGAAGAGGAAGGAGCGUAUGAAGGAGGUAGACUGUGGUGAAAAAUAUCGGUGGCAAAAAUUACAGUGGCAACGUCGAACAGAAGCAACGAGGUGAAUGACAGCGACGACAGCGUCGGUUCCACGUGCCCCACGAGAAGAAGUGAAAAAUAGCAGUGGCAGAAAUAGCGGCAGGAAAGCUGAACGGUAGCAGUGAGGCGAAUGACAGCAGCGGCAGCGUCGGUUCCACGCGCCCCAUGUGAAGAAGCGAGCCCUAACUAGUGUUUAAGUUUUCUUUUUGUUUUUGUAUUGAGUUGGACUAAACAGACUUCCUUGAUCUUGAUAUUUUAAUUUUAUAUUCUAUAAGGUGAGGAUAAUUUUAAUCAUGAAAUAGAACAUAUAAAAUUUGGAAAAGGGUGUAAACUUGGCAUAUUUAUACAAAUAGAUGCCUUCAUAAAUGUGUGGCAGAAUGAUGCCAGUAACAAGUGCUUCAUAAGUCCCUCAUGAAUGGCAUGUAUUUGUGAUGUCAAUGAAAUGCUAUAUCAGAACUAUAGUUAUUGAUACAUGUGAUACUUGUGUCAUGCUCAUGUAGGAUAAAGAUUGUCAAAACAGGCCCUCAUAUGUGCCACUUCAGCACUGUGUCAUAAUAAUAGCAACAUGAACAUCACAUUUGACAUCAUAAUAUCACAAGUUAACAUCAAAUUGACAAGCACAAUUAUGCCAUUUCUCGUGUUGAUAUUUUCUGGUAUUCUUUAUGUUAGGUGGUAACAGAGCUAAAACACUGAUCUGUAUCCUUUGAUUACUUCAUUGUUUAAUCACACUUCAACUUGGGUUGUGUUAUUAACUUCUUAUUUUCUUCUUAACUAGAAUGAGUUUUGUUGACUAGCAUAGUAUACUUACUGGAACUAUUGCUUGAUUAUAGUAAUGAUAGUUGAAUCAUCAAAUAUUAAAUUUGAAAUGCAUAAAAGUUUUUAACAAUUUUUGUUUCCUGAUGGUGCUUUGAUAGUGAUGUACGAUAAUCUUAUCUAUUGUUAUCAUAUGAGUGAUAGAAGCUAAAACUCAAGAUGUUUCCAAAAUUAGGCAGUUUGGGAGUUCUCCUUGCUGUUUUUUUACUUCUAUUUAUCUUUCCAUGAUGUAGCAGACCUUGAAACACAUGCUAACAUUUUGAUUCAUUUUCUUUUAUAGGUAAAGCACUUAGUAUGGCUCUUGCACAGAAGGGCAUUUUUGUAACUGUAAUUGACUUCUCCGAAGAGAAGGGAAAAGAAGUGGUCUUGUUGAUUGAAAGGGAGAACACAAAGUUCCAUCCAGAACUUAAGUUUCCAUCGGCAAUAUUUGUUAAAUGUGACGUUACCGAUACAAGUAAGCUUUCAAUUAUUACCUUUUUCAGUAUAUUUCUUGUAGCUACUCUUAAAUACCUUAUGAUGAUUGUGCUUCUGUUGAAAUACAAGAAGCAUCAGUAUAUAGCUUUUCCUUGAUCUCUUACAAGUAUUAGGAUUGACCCUCUCUAGGGUUUUGUUCAGUGCUAGGACAGAGACCUCCCAAAUUAUCGUUUGUUGCUGGAAAAAUAAGUGAAGUUUAACAAAGAUGACAAUCAGAAAAUGAAAGAAGUCUAACAAGACUUAUACAUGGUACUACAUUGGACAAUUUUAUUAACAAUAAUAAAAUGUUUGGACUGGAAUAGUCCUGAGAAGAUGACUUUAACUUCUCUCUUUUUCCCUUUGUCUGAUACCCUAUUUUUUGAUGAUUUAUUGUUCUACAAGAUUUAUCCGUAGCACAGUAAGAAAAAAUUUAGAUCAGAAUAGUCCUAAGAAAUGGGCUUUACCUCUAUCUUUUACUCUUUAUCUGACACCCUAUAUUUUGAUGAUCUGUUGUUCCCUUAACUCCUAGAAGAGUUGUAUGACACUUAGAGACAAGGCCGCCCAUUUUUUCGAGUCUAUGGAGGAAUUGUGGGAUCUGGUUGGACUUAAUGAUGUGGACUGCAUUGGAUGAGGUUAUGGAAAGUGGUGCAGGCUUGCAAAGUAGGACGUUUUAUUGACUUGCAUUAAAUAACUCAUCCUUCCUCAUCUUGCCUUUCUCUCCAAGGCAAGAACUCUGAAGAUUGUUGGAGAUCAUUGUGAAGCUCCCAAGUGCCAUCAUCCUGCAAACAAAUGUUGCAUCUGACAGGAAUAUUUAUUUUAAAAUUUCCAUUAACUUGAUAGUUGUUGGAGCUCAGGACUUGUGUCAAAACAUGUGGUAGAUCCUCAUUCAACAUAACAUGAAGCAUUGGCGAUAGUUUAGGCUCUUGCAACAUAGUCUGAGCUCUAUUGUGUGAAAUAUAUCAUGAAUGCAUGAAAUGGAAGGAAACUGUUAGCAAUAAGCAGUAGACCAAAUGUUCUCCAGCACCUGAAUGGGCAUACAGAAUUAAGGGAAGAUCUUGCUUAGUUUAUUAAAUAGAUUGAAAGUUGUCUGUAUAGGAAAGAAUUAUUAAAUUUUGGGAAUUGAUACAUAAUACACCAAGGGCUGAUCUAUAAUACCAUGAGGACUGAUCAAUAAUACUUGAGGAUUGAUCUGUAUUAUUCAAGUAGUAAUAAUUUAAAAUAUUUUGAGGAUCGGAGGACCCAAUUUUAAAUUGAUUAUCAUCUUGAUCGAUUUAAAAAAGAUCUUGAUAUCUUUGGAUUUUCCUUAAAAUUGAGUGUUUUUCAAAACUAAUUAUUUGGUGAACUUUUGAACUGCUCCUUUGACUAAUAAUCUUUUUGCUUGCUGCAUUUAUAUAUUAGUUAUCGAUGCACAUUGAAGAUUUUUUAAGCUGAAGUAACAGUAGUUACCCAUUAGACUCUUAUAAGUCAUUCUAAGUCUUAGCCCACUUUCGAUAUGCAACUAAACUGGGGUAUUAUACUAAGCCUGGUUAGCAAAUCCAGGCUAUUGGUUGUUAGAUAUGCUGAAGAUGGUUCCUCACAUUUGUAAGGGGGACAUAUGUCCACCAUAGUGCAUGGAACACUACUCAUUUUCAGUGAUGAUUUGGAGUGUGAUAUGGAAUGAUCUGUCGUAUCUAUAAGAUUAUAAGAUGAUUGUUCUAUCCCGAGUAAUUGGUGGGUCCUAAAUUUAGUGAGUCUGAGUAUUGGGUGUACUCUUCUCAUGAGAUUCUGUGACAUGGAGGUAUAUGAUUUCAAUGUAUCAUGAUAGCUCAAUGGUCGGAUGGUUGUUCAGGGUGGAAGCAGAGCUAGAGAGUUAAUAUGGUUCUAAUAAAUGUGAACAAUAUAUGAGAAAAUAUAUAACAUUAUGUUAUGACUUCUUGAAGAAAGGUUUAUGCAUGACACGAUCUUCUUGAGUUACAAGUUGAGUCAGACCUGAAAAUAACACUUUCUUUUGGUAUUUGCGACCUCUAUGUACCAGUAUGUCAGUCCAUACCAAUGACCUAUAUGUACCAGUAUGUCAGUCCAUACCAAGACUGAACUGAUUUGUCUGCCAUUCGGUAUCAGCACUGGACCAGAAUCUUAAACCUAGUGAGUGGUGUGGACUUGAAGAGGGAGCAUGGGCUAGUGCGCUUGCAUUUUAACUUCUGUCUUAUAGUCUAGUAACUGCUUAAAUUUUGAACCAGAACCAGGUAUAGUAAUUAUUGGCCUUUUGGAGCCACUGAACUUUAGUGUAGCAUUGAGUUCAUGUAAUCUUAUAUUGAGCCAUGAAUUGAAGUUAAUGAUCUGAUCUCCAAUGAGCUCUGUUUGUUGUGUUAGGUGGCAAUGUGUGUCAGCCUAGGGAGGGUUAACAUAUUGCUCUUUAAGAGGAGAAUUUGUCAUGCUAUCAUUGCUUUUUUAAUGAGUUACUUUCUACCUAGAUCAUUAACAUCUUUCUUGUUUUGGCUCUUUCUCCUGCAUUUAAGAGAACAUCCUGUAAAUCACAUUGACUAAUUGUUUUUACUUUUCUCUUUUUCUUUAAGCCUUUGGAAGAAAAGGAAGUUGCUACAUUUUGUGAAAAUUGUCUUCCUUUCAUUAAUGUCAGCUGCUUUACUAGGAAAAGAACAGUACUACAUUACUUAUCUUCACUUCGUCUACACUUUUAUAUGUGAAAUCAUGCGGGUGACAUUAAUUUUCAUUGUGCCCAUAUAAAUUGUUAAGUGGCUUAGUAAAGAUCAUAUCUUCCUGGGAACUCAGUCCAUCCAUAAUUUGUUCCAUAAUUACCUUAGGAUAACCAAGAAAUUGGCAAUAUUCUGUCCUCAUCAAGUAUAUGCCAAUCAGAUCAUUUUGUUUCAGCGUUCUUAUUUCUAAUGUUUAAUCAUUUAUACAUAUUUUAGCAACAUGAGAACUUCAAUGUCAUCAUCAUUUUGAUUAUCUGACAUGUAUUAUCAUUUAUCAACACUAUAUGUCAUUCUAAAUAUAUCUAAUAUUUAAACCAUCUGUAUCUUGUGUGUACAACCUCUUUUGUGCUUUAUGUAAAGCGUUGUGUCAUUUCUAGAUGGUCUAGCUGCUGCUUUUGAGAAACAUUUAGAGGUGUUCGGAGGACUGGAUAUCUGCAUCAACAGCGCUGGAAUUACUCAUCAUAUCUUGUUUCAUGAAGAUAAAACCAAUGGGAUUGACACUUGGAAGCGUACCAUAAAUGUAAACCUGACUGCAGUUGUUGACUGCACCCGCAUUGCGGUAUGCUUCAACUCAGUUACUCAGUUAUAAUUUCAGAAGUAAACUUAAGUAACCAAUUUAUGAGAAGAUUCCUGGAUGAAUUUACAUAUUUGAUGAUGCAUUCUUUAAAUUUCCUUUUUUCAUAUUAAGACACUGAAUUGUAAUUUCUUCAGAGUUCAGACAGACAUGGGAUCUUGUACAAAUUGUUUUAGAGGUUUAGGGUUUACUAUGUUGAAAAUGCCAGCAACUAGAUUCUAGAAUGGACAUAUAAAAAAACGCUCUGUUGCAUGUGGUUUAUAUGCUAGGGGACCUUAUCAUGCUUGUGGAUUGUAUGUGGAGGCUUCCUAGGCUCAGUAGCUCCUAACUCCUAAGAUACUUAUGAAGUACAAAGUAGGGAUGGUGUCAAUGGGAACCAAUGCAAACUAAAAAUAAGAUGCAAGCUUUAUGGGCCAAUUUUAGGAAAUUAGACAGUAAGGUACUUGAAAGGAUAGUGCAAUAACAACAUAUCAGUCUCACCUCCAACAAAUGCUUCUGUGAUUUGAAUUCAAUAAGAAGUCCCUCAUACUAUCAACUAGAGAAUUAAAUUACUAAGUAGAGGCAAAACCAAUGCAGGUGGCUCCCAGUAAGUAAAACCACCAAAUUGAUUGCCACAUCAGCAUCCAACACUUUUUCUUGCUCUGACCUCCUGCCAAAAUUAACCCAAAAUGGGGCUGAACAAAGGUCCUGCACUGGUCAAGCCUGGCCUGACUUUUGCUGGCCUAGUCCAUGCACAAUAACAAGAUCAUUGUGAUGAGAGUUAGGAUCAUCAUCUUGUGUAUCUGGAAAUAUUAAAUAUAAAAUGAUUUCACUUGUGAAAGAACUGGGGAGAACUCUCUAAAUAUAAAAUGAGAGAAAACUAAUUUAGGUGAUUCAAAAAGAAUUGUAAUAGUGAUGAGAAGACCAGGUCAGAAAAUUCAAAUAGGAACCCAAGAGGAUGUAGUCAAUGUUAAUAAAAAGGGAAAUGACAUCAUUAGAUUUUCUUGGUGCAGACUGUAUGAGUGGUAUUGAUCCAUGCUGAGUGUCUGUACAGCCAUAACAGUCACUGUCUGGUCAUUGAUCAACCAAGAUUUUAAUCCUUGAUUGACAUAUAUUUGAAGGAACUUGUUCAUGGUUAGAAUAUGGUAUGCUUAGGUAUUGAUUUGUUUAACUUGGCAUGCCAUUGUUUGCCUUUAGAUGAAAUAUAAAUAUCGGUGACAUAUAAUUGUAAAAUUAUGUAUAUAAAUACCUUUUUUUUUGGUUCUUUGCUUACUUGCUUUCAGAUUUCUGUAUCAAUAUCUCUCCAUAUUUCUUUUGCCGAAUUAGUAGCCAGUUCAUGAUGGUGUUGAAGCUUUUCUAUUUUUUCUUUAUAAAAAUAUCUACAGAUUCAAAUAAUGAGGUAUAAAAAGAAGCCUGGUGUCAUAAUAAAUCUUGGCUCAGCUUCAGGUCUUUAUCCUUUAUAUGCUGACCCGAUCUAUUCUGGCACAAAAGGUUUGACUUCUCCUAGUUCUUUUGGUUUAACAGAAAAAGCUAUAUUAUCUUAUAAACACUGCUCUUUAACUUGUGUAAACUUCUAUUUCAUCAUUGCUCUAGAUAUAUGAUAACCUCAUAUUCAUAAAAAAUUUAAUGCAUGCAAACUUGAUUUGAUGUUGACUAUGGUAUGCAGUAUUGAAUGGUGCCGCCCGGUACAGGCGGUACGUACUGGUCCGAUGGCAUAUUGGUACGCAGAACGUCUGGUACCAGACGGAACGUGCUAUAGUGCUACAGUAUUACACUGUUGUAAUGAAAGGAAAUAUAUAAAAUUAUUCGGUACACCCUGGUGUACCGCUCGAUACACUCUGGUGUACCGCUCGGUAUGCUGGUACCGCACUAUACUUAGCCAACCUCGAAACACUGGUACGGUACGGUAUUGCAUACCUUGAUGUUGACUAUUAUUUUUCAUGUUGAUCGUAAAUUCUUUUACCUCAUUAUCAACAACUGGUUUGCUUGUUAUAUGUUUUGGUAUGUCAAGGAAAGGUGCAAAUAAAUACAUUUUCUAGCUCCUUAUCCUACUUUUGUGGACAUCUAAGUUUUACAACUGCAUUGGGUAGAUAAGAUAUAUUAAUCUUUAAGUGAAUUUUUGAUAGAACAUCAGGUUGCAUGUGAGAACUCAGAACUUACAAUUGCAAACUGAACUCACACAAUAUUGUGAUUCAAGAUUCCAUAAUGUUUAAUCUGUUUUUGUAUCUGGGUGUUUGAUAUACAGUUAUUGCUGCCUUCUUGUGGACAUAUAAGGUUUGCAGGUUCAUAGAGCUUAUUUUUUGGAAUGAUAUUUAUAGAGGGCUUAUUUUUUGUUUCUCAAAAGGUAAAAUUUAACCGAACUUUAAAAACAAGAAUUUAUGUACUGUAUAAUGGUUCCAUUGCUGUGUGAUAGCUUACUCCUUCAUCAUGGAUUAGUUCUGUAAGGGGAUCGUUGGUAUUAAUCUAGGUAUAUCUUUUAAAAGAGCCCUUUUUGAUUUUUGUAUUGUAAAUUGAUAUGCCUGAGUGAGCUGACUGGACCAUAUAAAUUGCAAUUAAUUCAUUCAUCUAGAUUUUUUAGGAAUUCAGCAAAGGGCCAACAGUAAACUCCUUGACUGUGAUUCCCCAUGUAUGAUCUAAUCAGAUUUUUAAUCCAAUUAGAGGCCAGAUAAGAGGAAUAGAUGUGUCAGCCCAUUAAACCUAUAUAUAUACAUAUAUUUAUUGAAAUCUCUCCUCUCUUUCUUGCUAUUUCUAUCUUUCCUCUUUUUUACUCUGAUUUUUCUUUUCUUCCUUCAGACAGGUUUGUGUUGGCAUGACAGAUUAUGACAUGACUUGAGCUAGCUGCUGGCUGGAAUAAAUCCACAUUUUAUAAUUAACUAUUCCAUUUUUUAUUUUUGCUAUACGUGAAUUCAGAAACUACUUUGUGCAGGUGGUGUGGUUCUCUUCACUAGAGCACUUGUUCCUUUGAAACGUGAAGGGAUUCGUGUUAAUGUGCUUUGCCCCGAGGUAUUAGAUCAUGCAGCCUACAGUUCUGUUUUCUCGUUGGGAGUUGCUUGGAAUGAGAUCCAAUUGACCGUUAUUUGGAAGUGCUAUAUGCGCUCUGCUUAGUUAACAGAUCAACUUUCAUUUUAGUAUUUAUUAGAUGACACCACUUCUUUAAGAUGUCUGCACUUCAACCCAUCAAGUGCCCCAUGUAAACAACAAAUACCUGAAGUCUGUUAGCACCGUCAAUACUAUAUUGACCAUUAAUCUCUCUUUUUCAUACAUUCCCUUUUUUCACUGCCACCUCCUCUACCUCUUCCACUAUGAUAGCAUGACCACUGCCUCUGUUCCCUCCCUAUCCUCCCCGGCCACCAUUUUACCAAUGCCAAACUGUCUUGUUAUGUCCACUGCCAUCACCAGCUCUACUACCAUUAUCACCACCACCACUUCCUUUCCCAUCCUACUAGAACAUCAUCUCAUCGUUUGUACCAGUUUAUGCAGAGUUAAACUAAUGUCUUGUAUUAGAUCUAAUGAUUUUUUUUCACAGUUUACUCGUGCUGGUUGUCUGAUCUAUUGCAGUUUGUUCAAACUGAGAUGGGAUCAAAAAUAAACCCCAAAAUAGUUGAUGCAGUUGGUGGGUUCCUGUCUAUGGACACAGUGGUUAAUGGUAUGUUAUUUACUUAUUUUUGAACUAUGGUACUUGUUUGAUGCAAGUUCAUUUCUUUGCUUUCUGAAAUUAUCUUUGAGGGAAGGUAUAUCUUGCCUUAGCUUAUUACUAUUCUUUCACCUUCUUAAUUGUGUUGAUCUUUCAACUUCUGUAUACUUCUCCACAAGGUCCGCCAUACCGUACCGUACCGGAGUUUCGACUCGGGCUCGGUACGGUACGGUACCGGUGUACUAGGCGGUACACUAGGGUGUACCGAUACUGUAGCAGUACUACAGUGUAGCACUGUAGCGGUACAGAGCGGUCUGCGUACCGAGUACUUGGCGGACCGGUACAUACCGCCCGGUACGACCGGUACACUUCGGUACGGCAGACACUGCUUCUCCAUAAGGUCCGUCAUACCGUACCGUACCGGAAUUUCGACCCGGGCUCGGUACGGUAUGGUACCGGUGUACCGGGUGGUACACCAGGGCAUACCGAGCGGUACACCCUGGUGUACCGAUACUGUAGAAGUGCUACAGUAUAGUACUGUAGCGGCACAGGGCGGUCCGCGUACCGAGUACCUGGCGGACCGGUACGUACCGCCCGGUAUGGCCGGUAUGCUUCGGUACGGCAGACACUGCUUCUCCAUCAACGUAACUCUACUUGCUUCAAAUCUGCCGAAGAAUCAGUUUAACUUAUAUUUUUGAGUGCAUUAAGAUACAUGUGAAUACCCUAGAUUCUUCUUAGUAUUACGCAUAUCAGAUAUGUGAUGGAGACAUUUAUUUGCCUUUUUGUGUAUCUUUGUGUUUUACUAGUUUGAUUUAUGUGGCACUCUUGACUUGGUGGAUUCUGAAAUAACAAAGUUUCCUUAGAACCAGUUUUUCAAAAUCCAAGCCAUGGUCACUUGAAUGCAAUCAUAUGUUGAGGAAUAUAGACUUUUCAAUUUUCAGAAAAAUAUCCACCCUUUUUGUCCAUCUAAUAUAUAAUGUUAUGGGACUUAGCCUUUCUUGAUGUUCUUGAUAAAUGUGUCUCGAAUUUCUCUGCUUCACAUUAACUAGGUGCAAUAGAGCUUAUUAAAGAUGAGAGCAAAGCUGGUGCUUGUCUGUGGAUAACAAGACGUAGAGGAAUGGAGUAUUGGCCUACACCAUCAGAAGAAAGAAAGUACUUAAUAAGGCCAUACAAGUCUCGAAGAAGAAUCCAAUAUACAACAACUUCUGACAUCCUUAUACCAGAUACCUUUGAGAAAGUGUAAGCCACAUCCAUUCUGUUGUCUUUUAGGCUUUUACCAAAGCCAUUAUGAUAUAUUUGGUUUAUGCUGGUUAUUGGUAUCUAACAUUAUCUUUUCUAAGGAGUUUUGGCAUAGUUUCCCCAUUAUUGUAUAAUAAUGUAUAAACUCAGAAUGUUGCUGCUUUAGAUUUUUGUAGCCUUCAUCUUUAGGAAAAUUUAGAUAAUACUUGGUCUAAUGUUAAAAUUCAAUCUAUUUGCUAGUAUGUGUCUACUCUUGUGCUGAUUGGCUACUAGUGUUGGACAUAGUAAAUAUCAUGUCAUGUACUGUACAAGCUGUGCCAUGCUUUUUGAAACAUAUUAGAGUGGGCUGUGCCUCACAAUUGUCCAUAUUCCUGUAUGGCAUCGCUGUGACAAAUAUCAUCGCAGAUUCUUAGCGAGAAUGGCACAUCGAUCAACUUUUGCCAUUUUUUAGUCUGUUGGAAAAAUGUCAACUGGAUGCUCACUUUCUUUUAAAUUAGAUAACCAACCAUUAUUCUAUUCCUUGCCAAUUAUGAUUUUUAAUCAUUGACAUUUUCAAGUUGAAAUGAUGAAACUGUUUGGACAUGAAUUGCAAUUUAUUAUUGGGAAAUCUUAGAUUAAAAAUGUGAGAUAGAGGUGAAAUUUGAAAAUGUUCUUAUAUUCACAAGUCACAGCUAUGUGUAAGCUAUCACUUGGUUAAAAAAUAAGAUAAAGGUUCUAAUGUUCAUACGUUCACGAGUACUUGUAACCUUUCACUUGAACAUGAGAGUAGCAGUCAAGAUUGUGAUCUUGUGACAUAUUAUUGCUUCUUAUUGCUUUCUGCCUGUAGGUGCCAGUUCAAAGUGAUGGUAGUACCAUUUUUUAUUUUCAGGCUAUUUCCAUUUAAGCUUUCUUAUUAAUCGUAGGGCUUGUAAUUUAGGAGAGCACUUCUGAUUUCUGAACCAUCAAGGAACUCUAGCAGCACCUCCUCAGUGUUUAGCAGUUUAUGUUUGCUAGGUAAAGAAGUAAAGAACAUAAGCCUGACUAAUAAAGAGUAAAAAUUUAAUUGUGGUUUAUUGUAAAUGAGGGUAAUGAUCCAAUGCAACAUUGUUGCUGCCAAAGGGUUCUCUCUCUCUCUCUCUCUCUCUCUCUCUCCUUUGUGUAUUUCCUAAGUUCAUGAUACUCUGAUCACUGUAAGUGCCCUGGUCUAUGUAAUGGUACUUGCUAGAAACCUGAAGUAAAUUCCAAAAGCAUACACCAAAGAUGAAGAUAAAGCAACUUCAACAGAUUCUUUUGUUGAUUGAACAAAAUGGUUCUUACUGUAGUGGAUAAAUUCAUUGGGAAUGGUGCUCCAUGCUAAAAUACUACUAUGCAUUCCUAUAUAGGCUCUUGACUUUGGAGGAACUCUUCAUGUUUCAAAGGCCUUACAAAGUCUCCUAAUAAAGCAAACUUUUUCACAUCAGCAUAGAAGGAUAGACCAAUAGUUCAUUCGGGUAAUUUAUUGUUCAGAAAAAAUUGUAGUUGCAUUGGCACAGAUGGUUUGGCGGCUUUGGCCACUAACCAAACAGAAAUUAUUGAUUAUAUUCUGCUUCUGUUCCUUUACCAAACAUGCUUUGCACCCUCUAUUCCAAAAUUCAAUAUUAAAUCAUUACAUACUAAAACUACGUUGCUCUAGGCUUCAUGGAGAAAGAAAAUAAUUAAAAUGGAAUGGAUGUAUAACAGAUAUCUAGGGUUGGAGGAAUAAGAGACUUUUCAGAUGAAUAUCAAAAGAUACCAUUAAGGCCUCUUUCAGAUGAUUUAUAUCUGGUAUAAUUAAAAUUCCUGCAAGAAGACAGUACCCAGCCUUUUUGUUCUUCUACCUUGGUUUUGUCAGAAUAAAAUGUGAAAAAUGCUGACAUAUCUCUGUAGAUUAUGUGUCUGUUGGAUUAACAUUUAGCAGAUGCAUAAUUUGGAGUCUGAGGUUUGGUGAAUUUUUUUGAAGUUUUCCAGAUCAAGUAUUGCAAUUUUGGAUAUCACACUAGUGCUGAUUGUUGGCUGAACCUAUAUGGGUCUGGUACAAACCAACGUACCAACACAUGGCUGGUACUACUGCAGUACCAGAAGGUGGGAGGAGAAGAAGAUAAGAAGAAAGAGAGUUGGAGGAGAAGAUAAGAAGAUGAGGGAGGAGGCGGCGGCAAAGGAGGAGUGGCAGACAAGGAUGAGGAGGAGAGGAGUACCAUCGAUGGGCUGAGAUAAUGAGAGAGAGGGUGGGAGGUGAUUGGGGGCAAAGAAUAAAUAUAAAAGAGGCUUAUCAUCUGGUCCAGGCCUAGGAAACUUUGUUUCACAUGUAGAUAGUCCAAAAUUGGAUGUUCCAUGUCCCUGCGAAAUUGCAGUCCUUGAUCCUGAUGUAUAAUUAAUUUCAUGCAGUGUGUUUGGUAUUGUAGACUGUAGAGACCACAAAGAAUUAGCUAUAUAUAUAUAUAUAUAUACCAGUUUCUGGGAUAAAUUAAGGCUGAAAGAUUCAACCAAUAAUAGCUCUGAUUUUGGGGCUACCUAUGUCUUUAACAUGUAAAUGAAGAUCUGAUAGGACUAGUUACUUGAACUUAAAUUGAGUAAUUGCUUACGUCCAUCCAUGCUAAUAAAGUGGUCUGGAAAUAUCUUGUGAAUUCUUGUUUUUAUUGCUGAUGUAGCCUGGAUGAACAUAGAUGUAAAGAACUAAUCAGCUCACAGACUUGUGGUGGUAUAAAUAUGAAAGCUUUGAAGGAUAAGUUAACAAUAUGAUCGACAACUUUUUCUUUUUCAUUAUUUCAUCUUUUUUCCUUUGGUGUAGCUGGUAUUAAUGUUGUUGAUAACAUAUCAUGUUAGUGUUUGUUUACUCAUUGCAUCAUUAUUUGUUUUAUGAUUCUUCCUGGACAACUUUUGUCUCCCUCCAUAGUUAUAAUUUACAUGGCUUGGUAUAUCCAGUAAAUGUGUUGACUGUUAACUAUUGAAAUGUUCACAUAUUUUGAUGGUAAUUCAUGAGUAUGUAACUCUCUCUGGGAGAACCUUGUUAGCUUAGGUUUAGUAGAGAAUACCUUAUUAUUAUGUUGGUAUUGCCCUCCACAAUGAUAAAUGAUAGGAAAAGAUCCAUGUAGCCAACCCUAAAUGGUUAAGACAUUACGGUUUGUUGUUUGAUUAUCUUUUGUGGAACAACUUAUGCUAACAUCAACAUUUGGAGUAGAAGUUUCGUGCAAGGUUCAUAAUUUUGUGUACUGGUACUGUGCCAGUUAGGGGUCAGAAUGGUAGGGUAUCAGUCUAUACCAGUGUAUCGAGUUUCAAUACGGUAAUAUGUAUCAAGUCUCAAAAAAAGCUUUAAAAAGCCGAAAAACAUAAAUUAACAGAAACUGCAUAAUGCAGAGCUUGUACCGCCCUAUACCAGGCGUUAUUGACCCUUUGCCGGGAUGAAUGCGAACUGGGUUGUACGCUUGGUAGAGGUGGUCAAGUUUCAAUACGACAAAACAUAUCGAGUCUCGGAAAAAGCUUUAAAAAGCUGAAAAAAUAAAAAAAAGAAACUGCAUAAUGCAGAGCUUGUACCGCCCUAGACUGGGUGUUAUCGACCCUUUACAGGGAUGAGUGUGAAUGGGUUGUAUGCCUGGUAUCACACCUAUACUGGGUGUUACCGACCCUUGUCUGGAUGGUAUAGGGUCUAAUAUCGGGGUACAACCCAGUUUACACUCAUCCAUGUACCGGUAACCUAUCAGACUGAUAACUACCACACUUACUGAAUCAUACUAUACCGGACAGUAUUGCAAACCUUGGUUAUAUGACAUAAUGUUUUGACUAAGAUGCUGGCCUAUGUUUUUCUUGGUCUGUAGUUAAAUUUUUAGAAGCUGACAUUUUUCUCUUUGUUUUUGGAUGGCCAAAAGAAAGUUUAAGAUAAAUACUCACUGGUGCAGUAAACAGCUGGGAGAAUUAAAAGCAGUAGAUGUGAAAGAUACAGUUGUUGCAGCUAGCAAAUUCACUGUUUAGAUAUUCUGACUGCUGAAUCUAAUGUUUUCUAUUGGACAUCAGAGUUCAUUCCUGUAAAUUCUGUUAUAUUGGUCAUUAGAUAUCUAUUAGAAUUUAACUUUGUUGUUUUUAUGUAGGAUUGUCCACUCUCUGGAUCACAAUUUUCGAUUUGCUACAAAGGUUGUUCAAACAGAGUUGAAGUUGCCUAUAAAACCACACCAUGCCCUUGUCAAAAUCAUAUAUGCUGGUGUGAAUGCCAGUGAUGUAUGCUUGUGAUCUUAACUAUUUAACUUUUUAAAUAUGUUAUAGUUUACUUUUAAGUUUCCUAUUAAUCUGAUGUGAUAAAUUAUGACACAUCUGACAGGUAAACUUUAGCUCUGGGCGAUACUUUAAAGGCAAAGUUAACGAAAUUGCUGCACGGCUUCCAUUUGAUGCUGGUUUCGAGGUUUUGCAAUAUCAUAUUCAUAAGAUCAUAUAAAUUUGGUUAACUGGCAUCUAUGAAGCACAGAAAUGAACAAUAUGUUUUGAUAGGAUGUGAUAUAAAUGUGAAGAUAAGACAAAACCUGAAAACAUUUGCACUAGUACAUAUCAGAAAUUAUUGUUGAUUUAAAACACUAACUCUGAUGUUUCUUUAGAUCAGCAGACGUGUUAGGGAAUAUCAUAAGUUUGUUUGUCAAGAAAAAGCUAUUUUUAUUUUCUAUGUCUACUACAAUGGUUUGAAUUUCAAUCAUAUUAAUUGGUAAAGAGUUCACCGUUCCAAUUGUGAACCAUUAUCUGGACCAGGUCCGAUCUAGUUUGACACUAGGCUUGCCACCUAGUACAUUUACAUAUCAAGCGUGUCGUCCAGUAACCUUCUUGGGACUGAGCUAUUACUGAAUCCUUUAUGGUCCUAGUAUGUUGGCAGAUAGAUGGAGUGUGGGCCGAGGAAUAAAAUGAUGAUCAUAGUGCACACAAAUUCACCUUAUUAGUUUUCUGUCAGAAAGGAAAGGGGAUGAGAUGAGAGAAAUUAUACAAGAUCGAAGCCAGACAUGAGUUUGUAGCUGGUGUAGCCUUUCAAUUGGCAUAGAUUUUAUUGAUCACAAUUUGAUGUCAAUAAUUUGUACUCGUUCACUAAACCUCAUGCUCCAUAUGGUGCACAACACCAGUAAAGUGAUGACAAGAGCAGUUCGUUUGCUCAGCAUCGACGCAACUGUACUUGCUUCAUUCCUACUUUCCGCAACCCUACUUGUUGCAACCUAGUUGCUCCAAGCCUAGCCAGUUACCAACAUGUUAGCUAGUAUGCAUGCGAUACUUAGUGACCAACUUGCCACGACUCUUUACUAGUUUGAUUCAUUUAUGGUAGACAUAUAUUACUAUCAGAUGUCAUGCAUGGGUUUUUGAAAACUAUAAUUAUGAAUUACAAUUAACUUGAUGAUCAUGACCCAUGUCUUACGCUAGCAUGAUGAUUCUAUUGGUGAUAGUAGUUACUGAUAAGGGGCAUGUAUAGUUGUUAACUUCUGGUUUAUCUAUGCAUUUACAAAUAUUUUAAAAUUUCAAUAUGCUGCUCCAGCACUUUUAGAAGCUUUUUGCACAUAUUCUCUUGAUUUAUCCUUUUCAAUAGGUCUUCAUAACAUAUUUCAUUUCAAUAUUAAGCAAUAAAACCAAAAAUACCAGUCAGUUUGACUGGUAAUGAUGGUAACGGUAUCAGAUUGUGAUUUAAUCCUUGGUCUGCUAUUUGAUGUAAAUCAUUAAUCCAUGGACAAAAAUACCAGUAUUGGGUGGUACUAGCACACUGUAAAAUGUAACACUCCAAUGGACAGCAAGGAUAAAAUACAAACAGAUUUAAUUCCUUGGUCAAACUGAAUUGAUAUAAUUUGACGAUAAAGAUCCAUUGUACAUCAGCUGUUGCUCCAUAAAAUUGUCCCAAAACCAAACUUGUAAAGUUUAUUAUUAUUCCUCUUAUCAAUUAUUAAAUGGUCAACUGUCAUGAGUAGUAUUCUUCCUGAAAGUGUGUGUAGGAAUUAUUUCCCAAUGCAAAAUAUUUGAAUUCUUAUCUUUACUUUAGUGUAGGUAAGUAGAUAAAGUUUUGUGUGAUAUUUUGACAUAUUAACACUAGUAAUUGGUUACCAUAUUAUGUAUACAUUUGAAAGUAUUUUUCUUUUAUAGUUUGGCAUUGUGGCUUGCCAAAAGAACAAUCAUUCCUUGGUUGUAUUUCCUUUUAUUGUCGUAGUCAUAAUAUUAAUGAAAUGCUCAUUACAAUACACUAAUCAUGUACCAUCUCCAAUGACAAAGUGCAGUGAUGAUUAAUCUGAAUAUUAAUUCUAACCCUCUUUGAUGCUAUUUCCUUGCUAAACUAAAAUUUCUUUGUCCAGGCAGUUGGCAUAAUUGCUGCUGUUGGCGAGUCGGUCCAUCUGAAAAUUGGAGCCCCUGUGGCAUUUAUGGCUUUUGGAAGCUAUGCUGAAUUCUCAGUGGUUCUUAUUUUUGGCAUUCCUUUAUUUCAGUUGGGCUUGCCAAAUUGGCAGUUACAUAUGAUUAACAUCAGCUUUCAAUGUUUCUACCUCUGUAUUUUUGUACUUUUUCAGGUACCUGCAAAGCAUCUUCUUCCUGUUCCAAGACCAGAUGCAGAGGUUCUUGCGAUGCUAACAUCAGGUUUGACUGCUUCAAUUGCUCUAGAAAAGGUAUGGUUGAAAUAUUAUAUUUCUUUCUUUCUUCAUAUAUAGAGACUUCCAUUCUUUUAUGAACACUUGAAGUGUAGCUUCUUCCUCUUUAGAUCUAUUUACUGGAAUUACUUACACUAGAUUCGAGUUUUAAGGAUUAAAUUGUCAUGGUAUUCUUUUUUAUAUAAUUUUUACUGUACUUGAAGCUAGAUCGUCAUAAGUCAUCCUAAAAACCAACAACAACAACAACAAUGCCUAAUGUCCCAACUAUUUGGGGUCCGUUACAUGGAUAUUUUACCACCAAUCAUCCUAAACAUCAUGUUGAUUACAUGCUAUUUUUCUAGGCUGGACAAAUGGAAUCUGGACAAGUAGUACUAGUGACAGCAGCAGCUGGAGGUACAGGACAGUUUGCAGUUCAGGUAUGCCAUUGCUAUGUUCUUCUCUUUUUCCCAACCAAAGGGUCAUUAUUUUUGUUCAUUGGUUCCAGCAUUUUUUAGUGGAAAUUAAAGUUUUUGAGUAAAUGUUGAUCAGUUGACAGUAAUCUUACUCUUUUGUUUUUUGCCUUUUCUUUUGCUUUUUGCUCUUUUGUACUUUUCUCAUAUUCCUAAUAAAAUAGCAUUGGAACAUUGCUGUAUUUGCCUAGAUCUUAAAUUAUUUUAUGUUUGAAUAUCCUGUUUCUGGAGGCACAGGUCUUAAUAUAUAAUGUUAAUCCUCUGCGAUUUGUGAAUCCUGAACUCCCAAAAUAUUCACUCAGCGGAAAAGCUGCUUGGAUUUGGCACUUGCUAGACCCUAAAUGGAAUGAUCAUCAGGCAGAAGGCUGUACUUUUUACAUGAUUCCACUGUUGACAUUUUCUAAUAUUUCUGUUCAUAGCAUCCCUCGUUGCUGCACUCUUUAAUAAAUAACUAAAAAUUAUUAGUUAUCUUGUCUUUUAGAAUGUCAUGUGACACCGAAAGCAUCGAUUGUGCCUUCCACAUUAUGAUGAAUAUUAAGCUGCCAGUUUUCAAUUUGUGUACCAACAAAUUUACCAUGUCAAUGUUAUGUUUUACUGAGGUUCAGUUACGUUAUUCACCAUUUUCAAUUCUUUUCUGUUAUCUAUGAUGCAAAUUAAACUAGAAUUUCUCUUGAUAGCUGGCAAAAUUGGCUGGCAAUAAAGUGGUUGCAACAUGUGGAGGUGAAACGAAAGCUUCACUAUUAAGGUCCUUGGGAGCUGAUCGUGUUAUUGAUUAUAAGAAGGAAAACAUAAAAGAUGUAUGUUUCUAUUAUUCCUUCUGCUCUUGAUUGAUUCUCUGUGAAAUGUCAUGGACGUAACUUGAUUUAUGUUGCUAUCUAUUGUAUUGUUACUGUUUUUUAUUUUGUUGGUUGAUGCACUAACUUUCAAUAUAAAUCCAUUUUAGCUGCUGGAUAGUUUAUUAAUAUCUCAUAUCAAUUGGACAUUGUUUUGUGAUACCAAAAUUUUGAUUGCAUUUGUAUGUGUUCAUACAUGAGUUCAAUCCUUAUGUAAAUGAAAUAUGUUGAUAAUGUUAACGAUAAUCAUUGAUCAAUAUUUACUUGUUUAUGAACCCAGAAGUAUGGUUUGCAAUACUGUACAGUAUCUGUCGGUACAAACAUACCAGUCUGAUAAACGAUCGGUACAUGCGGUAUAUCAGUAUAUCUUAGUGUACUAUGUGUCGGUAUGUUCGUUACAGCUUGGUACAGUUCGGUACAUACUAUACCGACAACUGAUCGGUAUACUGGUACGGUACGGUAUUCAGAAUCUUGCCCAGAACUACUAAGUUCUGAUUUGAAUAAAGGGAAACAGGCAGGACAUGACUACAUAUAGCUUUGGUUGUUCCAUUCAUAUGCAAGUAAGAUGUUAACCAUCAGAUCUUAUCUACCUUGACUUGUAUACAAGCCUUAUUAAAAUAUAUUUGGUUCUAUUGUUCGUAGUGGACAUGAUUCUUGCAUUGUAGAAUGAGAAGGAACUUUAUCUUUUAUCUACGGAAACAAGAUUUAACUGUUCCUGUUCAUGUUUGUUGCUAAUUAUUUUUAUUUCCAAUUGUAAGCCUGGGAAGAAGAGGGUUGUAUUAGGCAGCUGAUAAUAAGCAUAAAAUUUUGUCAUAUCUUAUGAGCAUGGAUGAAAAUUGUUCUUGUACCAAUAUCAAUCUUUGGGCAGACUGACAUAGUGCUGGUAGGGACCCUUACAUCAUGGGUCAGCAUGGGUCGGUCCAACUAGAACAGGUCGGACGUGGACCUAUUUAAAAAAUCACCCUAAGCCUAAAUAUGGCUAAAUAAGAAAUUAGUAACAUAAACUUUUGGCUAAACUUUGGUUAAAUAAUGAACUGAAAUGUUUUUAUUGAGUAUUGCAAACCAUAUAUGAAAAGAACAUGUAUUAAAUUACAUAUAACUCCUAAACAUGACACAUGACACAUGCAGUACAAUCACAUGAGUAUAUACUGGUCAAUUACCAUGCAGUGCUGGUAGGGACCCUUACAUCAUGGGUCAGCAUGGGUCGGUCCAACUAGAACAGGUCGGNNNNNNNNNNNNNNNNNNNNNNNNNNNNNNNNNNNNNNNNNNNNNNNNNNNNNNNNNNNNNNNNNNNNNNNNNNNNNNNNNNNNNNNNNNNNNNNNNNNNNNNNNNNNNNNNNNNNNNNNNNNNNNNNNNNNNNNNNNNNNNNNNNNNNNNNNNNNNNNNNNNNNNNNNNNNNNNNNNNNNNNNNNNNNNNNNNNNNNNNNNNNNNNNNNNNNNNNNNNNNNNNNNNNNNNNNNNNNNNNNNNNNNNNNNNNNNNNNNNNNNNNNNNNNNNNNNNNNNNNNNNNNNNNNNNNNNNNNNNNNNNNNNNNNNNNNNNNNNNNNNNNNNNNNNNNNNNNNNNNNNNNNNNNNNNNNNNNNNNNNNNNNNNNNNNNNNNNNNNNNNNNNNNNNNNNNNNNNNNNNNNNNNNNNNNNNNNNNNNNNNNNNNNNNNNNNNNNNNNNNNNNNNNNNNNNNNNNNNNNNNNNNNNNNNNNNNNNNNNNNNNNNNNNNNNNNNAUCACAUGAGUAUAUACUGGUCAAUUACCAUGCAGUGCUGGUAGGGACCCUUACAUCAUGGGUCAGCAUGGGUCGGUCCAACUAGAACAGGUCGGACGUGGACCUAUUUAAAAAAUCACCCUAAGCCUAAAUAUGGCUAAAUAAGAAAUUAGUAACUUAAACUUUUGGCUAAACUUUGGUUAAAUAAUGAACUGAAAUGUUUUUAUUGAGUAUUGCAAACCAUAUAUGAAAAGAACAUGUAUUAAAUUACAUAUAACUCCUAAACAUGACACAUGACACAUUCAGUACAAUCACACGAGUAUAUACUGGUCAAUUACCACCAAAAUGAAUGUAGCGUCCAAUCCUGCCUCAGGUUAAUAAAAACCAAGGAGAUUGACUGGAGAAGAAAUUUUGUCAAGGACUCCAUUGCAGAGUUCUGAUCCUUCAUAUUGUAUCCACGACUCAGUUGCUAAGUCACAAUUGUACAAUUACAGUAGGCUGUACAUACGAUUUAGGUGGAUAAAACGUGAAUUUUUUUUAAGAAUUGUGUUAACAGGAUAUAUGAAGAUUCUUUUGUGUGACAUGGCAUGUUCUAUUCCAGAUUUCUUGAAUGUGGUUUUGCAAUUUAGCAGAGGAGGAAACCUGUAAAGUAACAGAAAAAAUGUGGAUUAUUGGGUUACCAUAUUCCUAUUCUAAUGGAGUUGCUAUCCUGGCCUUGAUCGCAUUAAAAAAAAAAAAAUGCUAUCCAUGCUACUAAGAAAUCAUCAAGAAAACCAAGUCUACCUAUUUUGGUGAAGAAAUAUGUUCUAAUUGGAAAAUCAAUCUAUCUUUUCUAUGCAUGUGUCUCUUGUAGCUUAAUUCUUCAUAUAAUAGGAUUUUAUAGAUGAGUUGUUAUUUGCUGAAAAUUCCAUUAUGAACAAAGAGGCAUCUUGUGGCUGUUAAUUCUUCAUAAAGGACUUAUACUGAUAAACUGUUACUCACUGAAAGAUGAAUUGUUAUUCACUGAAAAUUCCACUGUUAAUAGAUACAUACUAAAUAUCUUUAAGAUAUGUUGAUUAAUUACUUUUUCUGUGUUCCUUUGUCUAUCAUACUGUAUCAAGAAUUUCUAUUAAACUUUGCUUCAGGUGCUAAAGAAAGAAUUCCCUAAGGGUAUUGAUAUUGUAUACGAAUCCGUUGGAGGAGAAAUGUUCAAUUUAUGUCUAAAUGCUUUAGCAGUUCAUGGAAGACUUAUUGUCAUUGGAAUGAUUUCUCAGGUAUUGUCCUUUUGUUUCUCUGCUUACAUAAAAUUUUCAACUUAGUUGAAAUAGCUUCAUGUUAACAAAAAGCACUCAUCAGCCUACUGACACUAUAUAGUUUUGGCCAGAGCACUUCAUAUAGGUUAGACCACUGUUUUUAUAUCUCUAAAUCUUUUACAGCGCAUCCAAAAGGAGCUCCAAAUAAGGACUAAGUGUGUUAGUGUGCAUAUUCUGGUGAGGCAGAGUGUCCUGGUGGUUCUUAGAACCAGGGCUUUUGCUGUGUCAACAGAAGUAUCACCAGUGCAUUUGCUGUGUCAACAGAAGAAGAAGAAAAAAGAGAAAAAACAAGAUGAGUUCUCUAGUAUGGCUCCCUCCUAUUGCAGCCUCCACUUUGCUAAUCUUCUACGUCAGCCACUCAUCCUCAAUGAGACGAGGUGAUCAAGAGUGCCAGCUAUUGUGUAUUAUUACAAAACUAAACAAAGGGGUGAAGCUGGAAAAAAAAAAAUCGUAAAAAAUACUAAACCAUAGAAGUGGUCUCUAUUCUCUAGCGACAUUUUCUCUCUAGAAUUGAUGGUGAAGCUCAGAGAUGAAGUGGGAUGAGGAGUACCCAGCCAACUAAACUAUAGAACAUCCCUUUAAUGUUUUGAACUAGUAGCAUUGCUCUCAGGGAAUUGAAUUUCAUAUAUAGGACAUGUACCAGUCCAAGCUCAACAUGGUAUGUUACCAGUAUGUAUUAGCAUGCCUGCACAGGGUACUUCGGUAUGUGUUGUGAUACAAUUAAAAAAGACCAAAAAUAGGUCAAAAUAAAAAAUAAAAUCUAAUUUUGGUUUCUUUCUCAUAUUUUCUUGGCAUGUACAAUCAAUAUUGAUAUUUGAUAACAAUAAAAUGAUUAGGGGAUCAUGAGUGAUGUAGCUUAGAUCUACAAGAAUCAAGGCUUGAUCUUUGUAGAUCAAGCCCUAAACAAGAUCCAAAGGGAAGAGAUCUAGGCAAAGGUUGGAAGAGAAAACGUAAAUCCUAACCUAAUUGCAUGAAAUUUGAUAAAAAAUUUGAUAUGAAGAGUCCGACCGCAUCUUGAACUUAAAUCUUUUUCUUGAGCAAAUAGCCCUCCCCUAGACGUUCAUUGAUGAUUUUGCAAGAGAGUUGAAAGAGAUUUAUAAGGGAGUGAGAGCGAGUGAGAAAGGGUGUAUGAGAGGGAGAGUAAAGAUGAGGAUAGAAGUCUGAGAGGAAGAGGGUUUAAAGCUGCCAAAGUGACCACAGGAUCACUAUCGGGUAUGCUUUUCACCUGGUACAGGGCUGUUAUGGGGUCUGUACCAGGCGUUAAGCCUCGUUUACAGGAAUGACAACUGUUCCAAACAUUAGCCAUCUGGAUGGGCUUGGUCCACAUCUCGACAGGUGAUCGGAUCGGUAAAUACUGCUCAUAGUGUACCACUCUAGUUGGUUUUGCAAAUAAUGUUUAAAAUAUUAAAUAAAUAUGCAGAACCCAUGACUUGAGUUUUAAGAGUUGGUUCACUGAACUAGCUGUUAAACAAUUCUCUGUGAACUAAAAUAGCUGGAAACCUAAAAAGCACUAAAACAUACCUUUGCAUGAGUAAAUUUUUUUGUUUCCUUAAAUUGCAUCUUUUGAGACUGUUGAAAUUCUGAAACUAACAAUCCACUAGCAUGUUACAUAUUGUGGUACUAAUAGAUUUUUGUUGAAUCAUGAUACAUGUGCUAGAAUUAGUGGCAUAGCAUGCAAGCUUGCACUUGUGCCCUAUAUGACUAACAUCACAUUGCUAAAUGUACAAACUGGUAAAAGCGAUAUGUACGGGAUUCCUGCAUUAAUGGUUCAAAGCAGGGUCUGCCGUACCGAACCGUACCGCCCGGUAUGGGCAGUACGUACCGGUCCGACAGGUUGUCGGUAUGCGGACCACCUGUUACCGGUCCGAGUGUACUGUAGCACGGUAUACCGUACCGUACCAGUACCGAGCCCAGGUCGAAAUACCGGUACGGUACGGUAUUGCGAACCUUGGUUCAAAGAAUUUCAUGUCCUAUGUAGGAUGCCUGAGAUGCUUGAUCAAGUUAUGCGGGUCAUUGUCACUAACUAAAAAUCGAUCUUCAUAUGCUAAUAGUGUUUAUUGUAUCUAAUGGCAAAGAGCUUCUUUAGAUCAAUGCAAUAAUCAAAUUAACAUUUAUAAGCCAUGGCCCUUUUAGUAGAGUUUGCCUUUGUGUAACCAUGGUUCAUCAUUUUGAUUUGCUUUCAAAAUGUACUUACCAAUGGAAGAUCCAAAUAAAUGAAUAUUGAAUUUUCAUUCAACUGUAUAUUCUAGUCUAUCUUCUAUCACAUAUGCACUUUUGUAAGAAUGCCUUUUUCUUUUUAUGCAUGUUUCAGUACCAAGGAAAGCAUGGCUGGGAACCUUUGAAAUACACUGGUUUGUGUGAGAAAAUUCUUUCAAAAAGUCAAACAGUGGUAUGUCCGGCUGAAAUGCAAAUGGAUAGAAUUUGAUUCUUUAUGAUUAUCUUUUAUCUUCAUCUGUGAUGUUUGAUUUUAAAGUCAGCAAUUUGUUACUGAUAGAGCAUUUCUUGAUUCGGUACCUUGCCUUGAUGUCAUCAGAUUUAGUUUAGCCCCACUUCUAUGUUUUUCAUGUUGUGUUCCCACUACUAUCACCUGCAUCUUGAAUUAUAAAUCAAUUUAGAUGAGUUAUCUUUACGGAGCGAAAUUUUGUUGUUUAGGAAUAUCAUGUGAAAAGAAUGUGUUCUUCAACAGAAAAAUGUUGUAUGUCAUUUUUAUCUAGUGCAGCAUCAAUCCACAAUUAUCACCAGUAUCUGAAAUUGUAAGUCAGUUUACAUAAAUCAGCCUUUUAGAAAGAAAUAUUAGCAUUUAGAAAUAGCAUGUAGAAAAAUGUGUUUUUUCAUCGAAAAAGUCGGUACCAGUCAUUUGCAUCUGGUGGAAUAUCAGUGUUAACUGUUAAGCAUAAUUAUUAUGAGCCUUUCUCUUGUAACAUCUAUGGUUCCAUGUGUUCAUGAAGAAUUCAAGAUCAUAAUUAAUAUUUUUAUGCCUUCUUCUAUUAAUAGCAGCUAACAUCCUCUCGAUGUUGGCCACAAACUUAGAUGUCCUUGUAUUGGAUGGUCAAUUUGUUGCCUUAAGAGCCAUUACAUAUUAAUAGCUUCAUAAUUUAGACUUUAGAGGCUAUCUGGGAGAGCAGGUUAGUCAGGAGAAAGGCUUUCUAAAUAUUUAUGGGUAAGUCGACAUAUAUUAACCCUUCUCAGACUUGCCAUUACCUAAGAAGCACAGACAUGUGACAUGGACACAACAUGACAUGAAAUGGUGACACGUCAUCUUUAAACAAAUUAGGACAUGGAAUGGCAAGGACAAAUGUAUUUUUUAAUAUAUAUAUAUAUAUAUAUAUAUAUAUUAAAUAUAUAUAUAAUAUUCGAUCAACAUGAUUUUUAUAAUAUUUAUACUUAAAUUUUAUAAACUCGGUACAUCAAAUAAUAUUUAACAAUCUCCAGAUAUAAUUGAUGUAUGUUUCUUUACGACGAUCUCUAGUUCUCUUUAGAGAUGUUGACGAUUAGAAUCUGAAGCAGAUGGCCCUCACGUGAGGGCCACACAAGUGCAGCAUCGUAUGCAAGGGCCACUUAAGAUACCAAAUUUUAAAUUCAGUAUUAUCAUUCUCUCUAAUUUUUUCCCUACUUAGACUCUUAUAAGCAAAUAAUAUUUAUUAUUCUUUUGAUCAUAGCGUCUACCAAUUCUAAUCCCUUCCCUAGUAGUAUUUCUAUAUUCCAAGUUGCUAACAUAAUCCUUUGUUUUUUUAUUAACUUCUUUAUUCCCAUUGGUCCAAAAUAACGAGAGAACCUUCAUCUACUUGGCAUCACAUUUAGGCAUUGAUGUGAUGGGCCGCUUUCAGGCGACCUCCUAGCACACCAUUUGUAAUUCGGGAGACCUAGGUGGUGAAGGUGCCUCAUAUCACUUCUAGGCGAUGACUAGCUCUAUACUAAGAUCGGUUAAGAUUCAUGUUCAUGAGAUUUGACAAAGUUUUAUGUUGAUUGUCAGUGACCUAACGUAACCCUCCACAUUUUUCAUCUGGGCUUCUGGCCAGCAUUGGCAGUAUUACGAGUAUUGGAUUGUCGCUAUUUUUGAAAUUCUAACGACCAAAAUACAUUUAGUUGUGGAAUUCAGUUGAUGCCUAAUCUGGAUGGACCAUAAAUUUAUCAUGUUGUUAUUUGCUUGUUUCCUCGAUCUAUGCUUGCAUCUAAGAUACUUGUAUCAAAAAUAAGAUACUGACAUAUCUAUCCCGAAAUGAUCAUAUAAUUUUCUUUGUUUCACAAUUUAAAUUAUUAGUAAUGUCUAGUAACUUUAAAAGCUGGAUUUUACUUGAGAAUAUACCAGCAUAUAGUUUUGUAAUAAUAUUGUUGGAAUUCUUUACGUAAUACUUAUGUUCUCACUUCUCAGUCAAUGUUGCUUACUGAAAAACAUUAAUUUCUUUAAUUAACCUAGCCAUAAUUUUCACGGUCCACUAGUGAUGACAUAAGAUGCUAAUCUUGCAGAGAGCUACUGAUUAAUUAUGCUAACAAGUAGUUUCGUGCAAUAUCACACUAAUGAAGAUUAACAGGUGAAUUUCAUGGUUUACUGUGUUACAAAAUUUUAAGGAGUGCAUACCCUAUGUAUUAGUCAGCAUGUACUUUGCCAACGCGGUAUAAAUACUGGCAUACUGUCAUCUCAUGGGCAUGUUGACGUUGAAGUGUCAUCCUUCAACUAUCAUUUUUAAUAAACUGUGAUUUAUAACCCUGAUCUGUUUUAUUUCAUGCAGGCUGGCUUUUUCCUGAUUCAACAUGCUAGCUUGUGGCAAGAACACCUGGACAGGCUUUUUGAUCUGUACUCUGCAGGAAAGCUUAAGGUACUACUUCAGCAUUGGAUUAUAUUUCUUCAAAAGAGAGGAUUCUUGUGCAAUAUUUUGGUUGAGCAGCUAAAUCUAACAUGAUUCAGUAACUUGCAAUAAAAAAUAACAAGGACACCACUAGUAGUCUUUUAGGAUAUUGUUAAAAAACUUAAAAAGGUGCCCCCCCCCACAAAAAAAAGAAAAUUGUAUGGAUCUCCACUGUUACACAAAUGUGUGUUUUGUUGUUUUACACAUGUAUCUUGAACACAUAAGUGGGAACAAAUCUAUUAUUGCUGCAUACAUACAAUUAUAGGCAUUCACUGAUAUAAUAUAUUAGUUUUGCACAUAUGUCCUAAACACAUAUAUAUAGGUGAAAAUGUAAUAUUGCUGAAUACUUAAAACUUUAUAGAUGUUCACUGAUAAAGUGUAUUAGUUAUCAUCAUCUUCUCGUUGGUAAUAAAAUGCAUUUCUCUUUUGGGUUCCUCAUACAAGCAAACUUCCAGUUCAUCUGCUUUCUCUACUGCAAGUACUAAUUAGGUGGUAGAUAUUCUCCAGUUAUGUCAAGCUAUCAUUUUUCUUUUAGAGCAGGAAUAGUCAUUGCUUUUAUAGGCAAGUUUAAGCAAAUUGAUUUUUGUUUCAUGAAGUUCUGCAUCCAGAGUACUGUUUGUCGAUUGGUGAAUUAUAUAUUUCAUGAGUACUGUUUUUAUAUUUCUUGUUUUGACUAAUUGUCUAAAUUUCACAAUUUCACUUCUUUGGUUUAUGUCACUCUAUAUCUGUGCUUGUUGUAAUAUAAAGUUGUCGAUAGGGAUCUACUGAUUACUCGGGGGUUUAAAACUUGGGGCUUUUAUCCAUCCCUUUUAAGUUGUCAUUUGACCUAAUAGAAGUUGCAAAGAAUAGUAGUUGAAUUGGCUGACAGAGUGAUGUGCUAAUUCACUGAUUGGCUGCCUAACAUUUUAUCUGUGGUUAAAAUCUUUCAUCAGUUAGUUUUGCAGCAUUAGUGGAGCAUGCUUUGUGUGUAGUUUCCACAUUUUCAUGUCCUCUUCAAUUAAGAACCUUUUGGUGCUAUAGAUAAUCAGAACAGCCCAUUCAAGCCUUGUACCUGUCAGAUUGUACAAAUUUUUUCUGGUUCUUCAAUGUCUUGUAAUUCUGUAUUAUACAACCAUUACAUGGGAAUGUUGGUAUCAUUUUACAGAAGCUUAUCCUUAAAUGCAACUGCCACCUAGAUUUCUUAGGAGCACCUACAGCACUGCUUCAUUUACUGCUCAAGAAACAAAUCUACACCUAUGUUCAACGUGCCUGUGAUUCAAUGCUGACCAAUUUUCUUGUCAUAAACUGCACAUAAUAGGUUGCCGUUGAUCCUAAAGGAUUCAUGGGUGUUGGUUCUGUAGCAGAUGCAGUUGAAUAUCUACAUUCUGGUGAAAGUCUUGGCAAGGUAUUUCAGACAUCCAAAGGAGGGAAAAUAAAUCUACUUGAUGUACUAAUCUUUUCUUCAAUUUUUUUUUUUCAUUGAGGAAUCGUUUUCUAUUUGUUGCAGGUGGUUGUGUGCAUUGAUCCUACAUUUUGCAAGAAAACGGCAAAAUUGUAACUUGGAAAAGCAAAAUAAAUCACACACUAAAAAAACAAGCCAUGACAUUUGAUGACUUCAAGUUGUGUCCAUUGGAUGAGUUGGAAAUAAAAUUUGUCAGAUACGACGUGGACAUGUAUCAGAUGCUUGCUCUAAUUCUUUAGUAUCUGCAAUAAUUAUUUAAAUAUUUAAUGUAUUGUAGGAUAUGUUGGAAAUAAUCCUCUUUUUUCUUGAAUGUUCUGUAGGAGGUUGUUUAGGUUGUUGAUCUUUCGAUCAUCAAUGAGAUGUUUAUAUUUUCGGAUGGAUUGUUUAUAUAGAAAAGUUAAUUAAAAUGAUAAAUUAUCUUUAUAAUAAGUUGUCAAAUUUCUAUAUUCUUGAAUUAGGAUGUUACUAAUAAAAUAUUCUUAUUUCUCGUGAUGGUUAAAUUAAAAGAUUCUAGUCAAUCAUUUGUUUUAAACUAUUGUUUCUGUGAUUACAUGCACUGACUCUGUUACACAUGAUAUUAUAUUUGUUUUGACGGACGCAGAAGGAUUUUGUGUAUUGAAAGGAAACUAAUUCUUUUAGGUGCAACAACCAUCCCGAGUAAGCUAAAGUCAAUACUCCAAAUGGGUGGUUGAAGUCAGUGAUGAAUUUUGAAGGAGUAUAUCCAAAUAAAAUUUAGUAAAACUAACUAAAUACUCGGAUCAGUUGGUUUCGUAAAUCACUUAAAAGACACUCGGAUACUAUAACAACAAAGCAAGGGGAUAUAUCUAAUUUCAUGAGAGUUAGGGGUGUUCAAUUUGAAUCAAUAAAUUAAAUUGAAUUGGAAUCUAACUUGAAUUGAAUAGGGUCAUUAAUCUGCCUAAGUCCUUAAUGGGUUUAAAUCGGUUAAUCGAAUCAACCCAAAGGUCUAAUUUCAUAAAUGAGUUUAAUUGGAUCAAGAUUCUAAUUUGAUUCAAUUGAACUAAAUUAAUUUAUUUUAAAAAGUAUAUAUUUUUAAUUUAUUUAAAAUUAUAAUUUAGUUAAUGGAUUAAUCAAAUCAGAUUAAAUUACUUUUAAAUUAAUUUGAUUAGGUACAUCUAAAUUGAUUCUCAUUCGGAUUAUUUUAUUUUAAUCAAANNNNNNNNNNNNNNNNNNNNUCAUCUUUUAUAUAUAUAUAUAUAUAUAUAUAUAUAUAUAUAUAUAUAUAUAUAUAUAUAUAUAUAUAUAUAUAUAUAUAUAUAUAUAUAAUUUUGGAAUCACUUUCCUUCCGGUCCAAGCAAAGGGCGAUAUACCGCUGAGAGAAAAUCGACGGUUAGAUCCUAUAUCGCGUUGGAAGUCACGGCCCCCUUUUCUUGUUGCACCAACCGUUUCAUACACUAGAAUCAGUUCUCUCCAAACAACAAACGCUCGGCCACCGCUGGAUCUCCCAUGACAUGCUGCGUAGCCAAUAUAGAUACGAUGAUAAGGAAGGUAAGUUUGGGUUCGUUGUUGAUUAAGUAAGCAAAGAAAUUUGGUUUCGUACCCUUUCCCGGUUAACAUAUAGUAGAGCAAGGAUUCCUCCGUGAAGAGAAGGGAAGCGAAAGGUUCGUCGACUAGGGUUAGGGUUUCUUUUCCGGCGGAAUCGUUGAUCUAUCGAUCGAUCGAUCGAUCUCAUAGACAUGGCGUUGGAGUGGGUGGUGCUGGGCUACACGGCGGGCGCGGAGGCGAUCAUGCUGCUCUUCCUCACCCUCCCGGGGCUUGACGGCCUCCGUCGCGGGCUUGUCACCGUCAUCCGGAGUGCCCUGAAGCCGCUCCUGUCGGUGGUGCCCUUCUGCCUCUUCCUACUCGCCGACAUAUACUGGAAGUACGAGACGCGACCGACCUGCGAGCAGGAAUCCUGCAGCCCUUCCGAGCACGUCCGCCACCAGAAGUCCAUCAUGAAGAGCCAGCGCAACGCUCUCCUCAUCGCCUCUGCCCUCCUCCUCUACUGGCUCCUCUUCUCCGUUACAAGCCUUGUCGUCCGCAUCGAUCAGCUCAACCAGCGCAUCGAAAAGCUCAAGCGCUCCGAGUGAGCCCAAGAUCUUUAGAUCCGAACGGAGAGUACAUGUGCCUUCAUAUUACGUUCGGGCUUGGCCGAUUUCGCCCUUUCUUUAUCAAUGGACCCACUUUACCUUUUUGAUGUUAAAGAUGUAGGUUUUAUUUGUAUGCUCUGUUGCUGAUUUAUGCAUCUUUGUAUGGUUGAGACCAGUAUAAGUAAUCGUUAUUUGCUUUUUAAUUCUUAACUAGCCUGUUAUGAGAUUUGUGAAAUUACUCGGAUGAUUAUGGUCUUUGGUUUCAGUUAUUGGUGAAAAUAAUGGUGCUCUUGCAUCAUCUUAUCUGGCUGAACUUUACAGUUUCUCUAGUUAUUGUUCUUGACUGAUUAGACGUUCAUUAAUGCUGCGUCUAUUCACUAACUAGUUCUGCUAUUUCAUGUUGGCUUUAUAUGUUGUACCUCUUUUUGUGAUUAUGUAAGUUUCCACAAGUCAUUCUUCAGCACCUACUUAUAGUUGCUCUAAUAAUCAUAGUUAGAGACUGGAGUGCUAGCAUCUCUCUUCAUUAUAAGGGGAGUGGGUUAUCAGUUGUUCGGUGGAUGUUGCAAGGGUUUUGUGAGUUUAAUAAUCUACUAUGAUGCGGAGGUUUGUUUCUAAGACUCAAAAGAAUUAGCUUGUUCUGCUUCUGUUACUUUUUGUUGCUAUAGAAGAACUGAAUUAUUGAUGUUAAUAUUUAUAUCUGGUGGUUUUUCUAGGUCACGCCAUUAGGUGACUGCCUAUAGUUUUUUUCUUAAUUGAUCUUUCUUUGAUAUUAUGUUUUGUCAAUGAGCUCUUAGUUCUCUUCGCAACUAGGAACCUUAGCAAACCUUGUUUGUUACUCAUGUUGCAAGGUAUGAUAAUUCCAAAUGUCAUUUUAAGAUGGUUUGAAUGGUGAAGUCCGUCGGGAGUAAGUUGCAUGUUUUGCAGUUUGAUCAUAAUAAUGAGUGUUAUGCACUUGCUUUAGAUACUUUGAAUAUAAAAGUAUAUCGUUAUAUUCACAGAGAUGCUAUUUGAUCCAUUUAUUUUUCAGAUAUCUCUGAGUACCUAAAAAAUCCUCUGGAAGUACAUCAUAUUGCCUUAGUUAUAGACGGAAGGUAGUUUCUGUUUUUUAUCAUUAAAUAAAUUGUCAUGUAGUUGUGAUUGGCAUAAGGAGUCUUCAUCAAACAGUGUAGAUUACAUAAAUGUUAUUUAUGAGAAUAAUGGACUAUGGGGAUUUAGAUCUGAUUAUAAGUAAUUGCGAAUAUUAUUGCAUGCAUUAAUUUUCCAACUGGAGUUCUUGUUCUUUUCAUUCAUGCAAUGAUUGCUACUUUUUGCUAUUUUGGACCUUGUUUUAUUCAUACUUUGAUUUUUUUCUUAAUAUGAUUUGUACAAUCCUUUUAAUAGUCUGCAUUCUUUUGUAUGCCAAUUUUUUCUUUUAUUUUGAUUCUCUUUUUGCUUAUUGUUAUUCAAAUAUUAUAGAUUGGUACAAUGUUUCUACUUUUCUGCCUUCUUUUGUGUCAUUUCUCAUCUUUCCUAUUUUCAAUAUUUUAUUCUUUGUUUCUAGAAUGAGUAUCAAUAUAUAAAUUUGUACUUUGCUUAUACAAUGAAUAUCAAUAUAUAAAUUCGUACCUUUUUUCUUACCAUUUUCUCUCCUUUUUGUGCUUGAUCCAGAUACAGCAACUAUAAGACCAAAUACAGAAGUAAUCUUUCUUGUAAACUUUUGUCUCUUCAUGGAAUUUCUUUUGUUUUUCCUAAGACUGAAAUUUGCUCUAUCAAUCCUUUUUCAAAUCCUAGAUCCAGUGUUUAUGAUAUGCCCCUGUGCUGCUUACCUUUGAUGAAAGAUUGAGCCACUCUCAACUCGUGGCCUCAGAAAAUAGUUAAUUAAGAGUUCAUCAAAACGUAAGAAUCACUUUUCAAAUCUGUUUGAAGAGUGAGCCUAAAUCAUUGAAGAAAGUAGGAUAUUUUGUUCCAGCUGCUACUUUUGCUUACAUUAGGUGGUCAAAUGAACUAUUUGUUUUGAUAACAUGUUCCAAUUCACGACAGAGGGCAGCUUCUAGAGAAGAGGUUAGUAGAGAGAUUUUGUGAAAAAAAGUACAUCCCUGCACCAUCAAUUUGAGAGACCAUUUUUCUAUUAACCUUGUUGAGACUUAUUUCAUCUUGUAAACUGAAACUCAAUAACUUCUAUCCCCCAACAUGGAAAUAAAUUUGGAACUUGAACAAAACUCACAAUUUUAGGCAUUACCAGGUUAUAUGCAAUUUCUACAGCCUGUGUCAGUGGUUCUUUGCAAAUGACCAUUUAAAAUGAUGUUAUAUUCCUUGAAAGAUUGUUCCACUUCUGAUUGUAUUAGUUUGUCUUCCAGGUGCUAAAUUGGUGCUCCAUUUUCUGACAUCCAAGCCAUAUACGACCAACUAUAAUUAUUCUACAAGUUCUAGUAUAUUGUGGAAUUUUGAUUGUACUAAUGGGAUAGUUGUUAGUUAUGAUAAAUAAGCUUGUUGUUUUGUCUGAACAUAUAGAUACUGUUUACAUCUAGGUUAAGUUGAUAUGAGAUUGUUUCCUAGUAUUCCAAGUUUAAAGAUAUCUUUUCUAUACUUAGAAGGCAAGAGUUGGUGUCAGUGUAUGGUUGCUUAUCCACAACCUGGGUUACAAAUGUUUGAGUUACAAAGACAUCCUUUGGCUUGUAAGAGUAGAGCUGUGUAUGUUGAUCCUUCUUGGACUCGUUGUUCUAUGAAUUUAGUACAUUGAACCACCAUUUUUUAUAAUCCAUAGAAGACGAUUAGUGUAUAAAAUGUCAAAUUGUUUAUGAGCUUGAAAUUUAGCAUAUAGGAAACACUGUUAGAUGUGUUGAAGUGUUAUCUCGCUGAUGAGAUGUAGUUGAAACCGAAACCUGACGAUAGUAUAUAACAAGUCGUGGAUGUUGCUGAUGAUAGUUAGAAUUAAAUACAAUAAUUAAAUCAAUACUAAGUGGUCAGCAAUGGCUAAUUGCAUCAGCUGAAUCAUAUUAGAGUUUUAAAUUUCCUAAUUUAUGGAUUGUUCAUGUUGAUCCUCCUAAGUUUCCUCUCAUAUGGUCAUGCAUGUGUGAGGGUGACCAAGCAAGCAGGUCAAGUCCAGAGCCUUUGUGUUAUCAACUUGAAAGAAUUUUAAGCUCUGAACUUUCCUCCGAGUCUUCCUGUUUGCAUAUCUCCAUACUUAUUUUCAUCUUUCAUCUCUAUUCAUGUCCUGUUAGGAUGGACAAUUUCAUCCUGUUCACCAUUAUCUGUUAUAGCUGUCUUCUGAUGCCAAUUAAUUUGUUCCUUGCUUUGAGGAUGAUUUAGUGUGUCAUCAUAAGCAUCCUUGCUUUUCUCAUUCUGUCGAUUUCUGCUGCUAGAACACACUUUUGCUUCCAUUUUGGAUGAUAAUUUAAGAGGUAUCUUGCAAAUGAUAUUGCAAGCUUACUGGUUGCAUUCUAUUUGGUUAUUGCAAGCUUACUGUUAUUGACAAGGAUUCAUGUUAGAGAAUUUUUGUUUGUUCAUUUUGGAUGAUGUACUUCAAUGUUUCUUGUCCUGUAUAAAUAUAUCACAAGCUGACAUCUUAGUAAGAUAUAGACAUGGGAAACCUUUAUCGCAUUUAUAUAUUUAAAGAAGGUAUCGUGGAGAAAAUUCUUGCACUCUUAUGGCAACUAAAUGAGAAAUAGAUAGCAAAUACAAACUGCAUGUGGCUGGGUUAACUUUUUGUAUUGUAAAUACAAACUCCAAUGCUUGAUUUUUUUAUACCAGUUGAUGAUUAGUAAGUCUCAUUCCAAGUGUAGUCCCUGAAUUAUCUCGUCAUGACAUUUUUUCUAUCCUUAAUUACUUUUGUAUUGUCAUAAUUUCUUGUUCAUUUUACAGCUCUGGAAAAUGUUUAUCUUAUACCCCAACCUAAACUUUGUUAGGUGGGGCUAAAUCGCUGAAGUAUGCGUAGAUUAUGUUAACUGAGGAGAAUUCUAGUUAAUCCUAAUUGCUGAAGUGUGGGAUGUUAUAAUUUAUACGUUUGAUUAUUUGUAUUUUCAACUGAAUAUUGUCAAUUGAUUCAAUUAAUUUUGAAUUAGGCUAGAGAUCAAAUGCCCGUUGAUCCCCAUUGAACACAAUAAAUUACCUCAAAUUAAACCUAAAAUCAACUAACUAUGGAAUUAUCAAGUGAUAAGACAAUGGUGCCCAUGGACUGAAGUGAUAAUUUGGUGGACUAAUUACAAAUUUACAAAUUAUCCCUUGUAUAGUUAUAUCUUUUUAAUAUCCUUAUCAAUCUUACAUUGAAACCUUAAAGGGAAAUAUUUGAAAAUUUGAUGUUGAAAUCCCUAAAGUGAAAUAUUUAAUUUUAUUUAUCUUAACGUUAUUGAUUUUAUCGAUGAAAUAUAUAACACAUAACAGUUGGUGUAGAAAUGACAUGAAAAUAAUAAAUAAAAAGAUAAUUUUAACAUCUCAACUAUAUUUUUGAUGGUCGUGGAUGACGAUAUUGUUGGGGGGUCGUCGAUGGCUAUUGUACUUGUGGUCGACGAGAAUGUUUCUUGUGAGAGGAGGAGAAUAAAGAGGGGGAGUGACGAUAAUUAAAGAUGAGGCAAAGGGAGAGGGAUGGCUAUUGUACUUGUGGUCGACGAGAAUGUUUCUUGCGAGAGGAGGAGAAUAAAGAGGGGGAGUGACGAUAAUUAAAGAUGAGGUAAAGGGAGAGGGGGAAGAGGAUGAUGCUGAUGUCAACGAUUUAUGUGUCGGUGUCACUUGGAAACUAUGUAGGUGUCGACAAACUUUUCGAGUGGUAUCGAUGCAAAUAUAGAGCGUUAACAUUUAUAUUCUCCUCUUUCUCUCUUUCUUUUGUUUUAUCUCUCGUCGACACUCUCCCUCCUCACUCUCCUCCUCCUUUGCAAAAAGCUAUAGAAGCCUCCAAUGUUCUCACCAAUUACCGUGUCAUUCUCGUCGACCACAAUCACAAUAGUCGCUUGCGGCCCCUAAUGAGAUCGUUUAUAAUCAUCGAAAACGUAAUUGGGAUAUUGAAAUUACCUUUUUACUCAUCAUUUUUGUGUCAUUUUUGUACGUAUUGUAUCUUUUGUUGAUAAAAUUGACGAUGUUAAAAUAAAUAGUGUUGUAUCUUUUGUCGAUAAAAUCGACGAGAUCUAGAGAUCGAGAUACUAAAUAGAUUUAACUAUAAAUAAUGUUUCUUGCGAGAGGGGGAGUGACAACAAUGAGAGAUGAGGUAAAGGGAGAGGGAGAAGAGGAUAACAAAUGUUUCUUGCGAUAUUGUCGGUGUCACUUGGAAACUACGUAGGUGUCGACACAUUUUUUGAGUGGUAUCGAUGCAAAUAUAGAAUGUUAACAUUUAUAUUGUCCUCUUCCUUUCUUUCUUUUAUUUUAUCUCUCGUCAUUACUCUCCUCCUCCCAUGCAAAAAGCUAUAGAAGCCUCGAAUGUUCUCACUGAUUACUGUGUCAUUCUCGUCUACCACAAUCACGAUAGUCGCUUGCAGCCCUUAAUGAUGUCGUUUAUAACCAUCGAAAACGUAAUCGGGAUAUUGAAAUUACCUUUUUACUCAUCAUUUUUGUGUCAUUUUUGUACAUAUUGUAUCUUUUGUCGAUAAAAUUGACGAUGUUAAAAUAAAUAGUGUUCUAUCUUUUAUCGAUAAAAUCUAUAAGGUUAAACUAAAUAGAGUUAAAUAUUUUACUUUUAUAAUUAUAAAAAUUUUAAUAUAAAAUUUUUAAAUCUAGAGAUCGAGAUACUAAAUAGAUUUAACUAUAAAAGAUAAUAUAUAAUUAAUCCUAAUUUGAUAUGUUAAAUUGGUAAUAUGAAAGUGAGUGAAUAGAGGGAUCAUCAAAUGUUCAAGAGAACAUAUUAUUGACAACCUACCACUAGCAGAUCAUUGGCAAAUAUAUAGGGCAUCAGAUGGUGGCGCACUAUUCUGAGAUCCAAAUAUCACGACAGAUGACACCAUGUUCGAAUCAUGCAUGCACUAUGCGUUACACUGAUUCGAAAUCAAACCAAAAACAUCAACAACAUAAGAAUUAGAUGCAUGUAGUUUUAUUUCUUUGUUGUCCACAUGGCUCAUUCAGUAAACUCGGAGAAGCCAUUUAUUACUGCUCUAUCCCAUCGCAGCCGCCCCUCUGCGCCUUCGCCUCGCCCGCGUUGCAGGCUCCACCGCGUCCCCCGCCGCCCCGCAUAUCCCCGCUGCAUGGCCCAGCCACGACCCGCUCGCCUUACCCGCCGCCCUUGUCCCCUCCGUCGUCCUCGGUGUGGCAAAGGUCUCCUUGUCCCUCGCCAUGAUGAGCCGCUCGAGCUCCCUCGUGAUCCUCUCGAUCUCGUAGACGUCCAGUAGGGGGACGGCCGGGCCGAGUUCCUCCACCUCGGCGAGCGCCUCGAGCUUGUAUCGGGAAGGCCGCUGCCUGCGGGCUUUAGCGGCGGCACCUCCCUCCCAGCCGAGCUCGGACUCGCGCGCGGUGCGGUCGUCGCUGCCGGAGCCGUGCUGGUACCACGCCCACGCCGCAGCCUUCGCCAUGGCCAGCUCAUCGUCCGCGGCCGUUGCGGCGGCCGACGACGACAUGCUCAUCCUCCGCUUCACCCAAUCCAUCGGAAGAAGGGGUGAAAUCAAUGGCCUUUGGUUUGUAUCCCUCCGCAAGGAGACCGUGCAAUCAUUAAUUUUUGGUUUGAUUGCCGUGCAUGUGAGUUCGUAAGCAGCAUGUUUGUCCUUACAAAUUUAUUAUAGUUUAACCCUCCAUAUACACUAAUAUUCUCCACAUAUGCCAUCCCCAUUAAUAUCUAUUCUAAUUAUAUUAGCAUUUGUAAAUUUAAAUUAAAAAUAUUUUGAUAUUUCUAUGACCAUAAUAAUCUAAGUAUUGUGGUCGAGCGUAUAAAACUUAUUUAUUGUUAGUAUAAUUCUAAUUAUCCCAUUUCGACUAUAUGUUUAAGUUUAUUCGGAUUCAAUCGAGAUCCUAUUUCAUCUCUAUCAUCGAGAGUGCUUCUGAUAAAGUUUUCUCGAUGUUUAAUUUAGUUUAGAGUUGAGGAUUAGACUAUAUGUUUAAGUUUAUUUGAAAAAAAAUACUCUCAAAGAUCUAAAUAUAUAUAGUGGUCUUUUUAUAGUGAGAUUCAAAAUCAUUGUAUUCAUUUUGAUAUUAGAUACGAUGGCAUAACAUUGAACUAGGAGAAUAUUAUAUAAUGAUUAAUCAAGUUAGAUCCUAUAUUCAUCAUAUCGUUCAAAAAAUGAUGAUAUAUCAAUAAUGAAGUAUUGAUAAUUUUUUAUGAUAUCACCACCUAUUAGAAGGCUUAUUCGGAAACAUUCACAUGGUAGGGAUAUAUUCGACCCACUAAUAAGGGCUAAAAGUUUGAAAUCUUCAUCCAAAUAGGUUUCUUGGAAUUUAGUGGUGAUCAAGCGGACAGGUACAAGAGAAUUCAUGGCCUCAUCUUUCUAACGCAAUAAUUGGGCACGCCUCAAUCGACGUGUGAACAAGCUUAUGUUUCGUAAGCAACACGAGCACAUAAGAACAUGAGAAUGAUUCCUCCUUUUAUCUUUCUUGUCGUCGGGGGCAAGUAAUCAUGACAGCAUGGAACAUAAAAACACCCAAAUGUUCAAAGUUUUGGGAUUUUGCAUUCAAGAAAAAAUAUAUAUAUAGAUCUCUUCACUAAUAUUCGGAUGGUGAUAGAUAGUUGUUUGAUUGUUAAAAAUGUUAUCGUAAAGUCUUGAGAUCAAAACAUGAACACAAAAGAAAAAGUUAUUUGGUAAUAACAUUAGCAAAAAGAAAAAUAAUAAAAAUAGUUUGAAGAAAGAGAACACACAGCUUCCAAAUCCAUGUCAUCGUGGGAUAAGAUUGAGGCUCCUAUUGUUAGGAUUAGGAUAGAAGAAGAAGAAGAAGAAGAACAAGUGUCGAUCAGAGUCUCCACACCUUCCUCUCAUUCCAUUGAUCGAUGACCGAGUGGGGCAGUCUAUUAUUAAGGUAGAACGAAGCAAGCAAUGAUUCCCAUUAAAACAACUUAAAUAAGAUAUAUAGACUUUGUGUAUAAACCCACGAAAGAUAUUCAUAAAAAAAAAAAACAUAUGUGAAGGAUUGUAAAAACAUACGUGAGGUUAAUUACAUAUUACCUCGUAAUUAGAUUUUUUUAGUAUUUUAGUUUUUAAAUUUAAAAAAAUUAUAAUAAAAUUCUUGUAAUGAUAAAAGUGGAACAUCUAACUCUAUUUAUCAUAACGUCAUAGGUUUUACAAAUAGAAACACGAAAACGAUGGAUAAAAAGAUAAUUUUAAUAUCAUAGUUAUGUUUUUAGUGAUGACGAACGACACUAUCGUUAGGAGCCAUGAAUGACUGUUGUAGAUUAGAAAAAAUAAUAAUGAGAGGUAAGACAAAAGGAAAAGAAAAAAUGGACGAUGUAGAUGUCGACGUUGGUCGAUAACUACGUCGGCGUCAACAUAGAUGUAGAGAGAUGAAAGGUCGCUCGGUAUCUCAUCAACGUCAACAUGGAUGUUGAGUGAUGUCGAUGCAUAGCGAUACUGUCCUGUCUUGCAUUAUUAUCAACAUCGAUGCGAAUGCAAAGUGGCGUUGCCCUUCCCCGCAUCACUAUCGACACCAAAGCAGAUGUAGAGUAUUGGUAUCUGUAUCGUUCUCUUCCUCCUCUCUCUUUACUUUACCUCUCGUUGUCACUCUACCUCUUUAUCCACAAUAGUCGCCCACGGCCCUCAGUAGUAUUCUCAUCACUAUCAUCGAAAACAUAAUUAGGAUAUUAAAAUUAUCUUUUUAUCCAUCGUUUCCAUACUUCCGUUCAUAAAACUAACAACAGAAGAUUGUAAUAUAUUUUUAAAAUUUAAGAAUCGAUAUGCUAAAGAGGUUAACUACUAAUAUGUAAUUAACCUCCUUUAUCGUGUGAUAUGCUCAUCUAUUUGGGCGAUAAACUUUAUAGGUAAACCGACGGAAGAGAUACAUAAAAAAAUAUAGGUGGGGGAUUGUAGAAUCACAAAAACAUAACUUUUGUGAUUCAUGUUCAUCAAACAGAGAGGAGCGAAUCCUUCAUUUUUAUUGUUUUCACGACGUACUUUACUGUACAGAUUUUUGACUUUUCCUUUCCUUUGUGUAGCCACGAAAUUAUUGUUUUUAUUUUUAUUUUUAUUUUUGUAAGAAUUCUUUUUUUCUUUUUUAUGCAUGUUUCACAUCACUGCCGAGGAAAGCAUGGAUGGCAAUCUUUCAAAUACACUGGUUUUCAUUUAUCUGAAGAUGCAAAUGGAUAGAUUGAUUCUUUAUGGUUUUCAUUUAUCUUCACCUGUGAUGUUUGAUUUUAAACUCAGCCAUUAGUUGCUGAUCACAGCAUUUCUUGAUUCAGUGUACCUUACCUUGUUGUUGGUUUGUAGUCCAUUCCAUAAAAACUAUAAGAUUAUAUGAAUCUUGUCGAUCAAAGACUCCCAAAGUUAACCGGGGAUUUAUAUGAAUCUACUUAGAAAUAGUUAUGUUUGAUUUCGCCAAGAAGGUUUUGAAAGCAUCACAGAUUUAUUGAGUCUUGAAGAUCAAUCUCGUAACAUCGGUCUUGAUAAACCCUAAUUUAUUGCUUCCUCUUCAUCGAUAGUGUCAGUUCCUUCUACUUAAUUCAAAAAAAAAACAAAAAAAAAAGUAUAAUGAGUUUUUGAUAUUCAAUUAUUUUAGUUAAAAAUAAUAAUAAUAAUCCAAACAUUUAUCUAUCCAAUCAGAAUGAUAGUUACAAGUCCGAUACAAAAAUAAUUAUACAUCAUUCACAUACCUAUAGAAAUAAUUCAUUCCCAUAAUUCAAAACAGAAAAAACAAAAGAUUGUUCUCUCUCUUUUUUUCUUUUUUUUUACAUGAGAUACAAUAUGAUUUUUAUUUUAUUUUUGAUGAAACCAACUGCGUAUUAUUCAUGAUUCUAUAGAGAUAAAUAAUUCCUUUCAAAUCAAAAUUUUUAUUUCUCAACAACUUCUCUCAUCAACUAUUAUAAUGUUCAUGAAUAGUGUCAUGUAUAUAUUAUAAUGUUUGUUAGUGUAAAUAAAUACUCACAUGAUAUCCAUUCUACUUAAACCAUAAAUGCACCAAUAUUUAUUUAUAUUAGAAAUAUUGGCCACCACAUUGCAUUCUGAAACUGAGCUUUCUGCUUUUCUGCAUCUUUACUUGUAUGAGAAGCUGAGCUGACACGCAGAAGAAACACAAUUACUCUUUGAUGAGACAACAUUUGCUGGCAGCUGAAAUGUUGGUAGCUGCUCUGUCAAUUUCUCCUUUAGCACUGCCAGAUUAAACAAGGAAUGAUGACAUGACCUCUCCUCUCUAUUUAUUUCAUACUCACACUAUGAUGGGGUAAUCCAUUGCCAUCACAGUAGACAUACACGAGCUACGAAAUUAUGUUACACUUGUAACAUUCAUAUUUGGAUUGAUGAUCUUUCGAGAGAACAUUUUGGUGAUGAUAUUUGCUUUCUGAUGUACCAUCGUAUAUCAUUUAGUGAUUGAAUGAAUAUUUUUUCAUAAAAAUUAAUUAUAUUAAUUAAAGAACACAAGUAUAUUCCUUCAUAAAAUUAAUAUAUUAUGUAUAUUUUUUUGGUAAGGUGUUGUAGGAUAAUUUAUGACAAAUCUUCUCUUCUAUGAUCCUUCUUGACUUGUGAAUAAUGUUUUAUAUUGGAGCUUAUACCUAAUAUGAUGAUCUUGGUGAUGAAUAUAUUGACUUGUAACGAUGAGAAUGUUUACUUGCGUUCAUGUUCUUAAUACUUGAUAAAACUAAAUGGACUAUGUUAAUUGGCAAAUACUAUGUGCGAUCAUUCAGUGCUCAUAAAAUAUACACACUUCUCGUUUGAUUGGAGACUCAUGACAUACUUUAGGCAUAUGCUCGCUCACCAAAUUGAUAUAACUAUUUGGUGAAACAUUGGAAUCAAUAGAAAAAGUAUAUUUUGAACAAAAUAAAGAAAUAGUCAUUCCUUUAAUCCAUCAGUUUUAUUAACUUUGUAAUAUAGGUGUUGCAUUUGAUAUUAACUUUGUAAUAUUUUCAUCGGACACUUAAUAUUAAUACGAUCUUAAUAUUAAUUUUGUAAUAUUUUCAUCAGACACUUCCAGACUAAUAUAGAUGUUGCAUUUGAUAUCAUCGUAUAGUUGAAUACUCUAAAGAGGUGGAAGAAUACUCUAUUUUUCAAUCUUCAACUCACUCUCGAAAAAUAGAAAAAAUAUUGAACCUCUAAAACAUCUUCUGGUUUAAGAUUUGAAGACAUUUUGCAUAAUAUUGUCUGGUGAUAGUUAUUGGAGUUGUAUGGUAUUGCUUUGCAUGCUUUUUAAGUUUUGUAGGUUUUGUUUGUUUCUUUUGUUCCCUAUCAGUGCAACUUGUUUCUUUCACACUAUGCUAUAUUUUUCUUUUAUCUCAAUAGUAUUCUUAUUAUUUUGUCAAAAAAAAAUGGUUAUCAGUAUUUUUCCUACUCAAUGUAUAAUAUUUCAUUAGGUGUAAGCAAAGACAUAUUAAUUUUUAAAAACUUAAUAUGCAUAUUAUUAUUAAUUUAGAUUUAAGAAUUAUAAGUUGAUCUUUAUUUAGGACUAUUUUUCUAUUGGAAUGCUCUCUUUGAUAAGAUCUAUAAAAAUUCAACUGUUGCAAGAUUUGUGAGCACAAAUCUUCUCUGAAGAAUGUGUUGGCAUCUCUGAUGGGACAAAUUGCAAGAAUUCAAAUGAAGGUUGGAAGGUGUCAAGUCACUUCCUACAUUGAUGUUUAUUGUUCUUUAGCAUAUUUUUUUUUCUGAAAGAGAUAUUGAGAGGGCCUUGAAAAGAUGCAUGUUGUCAUUUUCUAAGACUCAGAAGAUAACCUCCACUCACAAUCAAAAAUUGAGAUCAGUGCUAUAACUUUCAUAUGCCUAAAACAUUGUAGUUAUGAUUGAUACUAUAAAAAGUGAUUCAUAUUUAAGUUCAAGUAAUAAUUGAACUAAGGUUUAACAAAACUUGGCCAUUCUCCAAGCAUCUCAAACCAAUGUACCAAUUUAAUGAAGCUUCUUCCUUGAAUGUUCCUUUCAUGAUUGCAAGUUAGCCAACCCCUAACUGGAGUAUCUUUAGAAUUAUCUGAAAUGAUAAUAUGUUUCCAAUCAACAAUUUCUUGUAUUCAUCAGAUAUUUUAAGCAUGCUCAUGAUGCUGUCAACAAUUCUCCAUGAGCUGACAAUUGUUGACCAAACUUGCAGGGCUGAUGAUUCAAGGCCAAGCAGGGUGGUGCCCCAGAGAUAUAUAUUAUAAAUCCUUUAGGGUACCAAAGAAUAGUAUCACUGGUCAAUUCAAUCAUAUGAGUCUUCUUUGCAUGAUUGUGAUGAUAGACACCAAGAGAUAUUGAAAUGCUUUGGUGGACUGGGCCAUGUCAGUACUCAUGCCAGCUCUGCCAUUUACUUACCUUGUCACUAUCUUGAACACCAUUAGGAGCUUGUCCACUCACAGUCACAAUUGUUGGUACAUGACUUUGUGCCCCACCAUGGCCAAGUGAUACAGCUUUACCUGAUGACACCACUUCAACUGAUGGGUUCUGUGAGAAAUGGUGAUGUUUUUACUCCAGAUGAAGUAGAUGGAUACUGUUAAAGAAGUGCAAUGCCUAUAGGUGGUCUUUAUUGCUCAUUAAUUUUGAUUUUUCACCCUAGUUGAGAUCAGUUCAGCUUUCCAUUCUAAUUAACAAAAGAUUUUAGACUAUCCAGGAAAAAUAAAAAGAAAACAUUAUCUGCCUGCCAUCAUCAUGGCAAAUAAUUUGUUGAUGAAGAUUAUUGUACUUAGGAUGGGUCCUCAAAAUCUUGUAGGAAAAGCUAGUGAGAUGGAUUCAAUCACCCUUCAUAUCUUUUAUGAGUGAUGUGAUUUGACAUUUGUCAAUCUGAUAUUUGUAAAGGGAGAGAAUGCCACAAAUUCAUGUUUGUGAUGAAAACUAAAUCUAGCAGCCUUGAGUUCAUGACUGAGAAAAUAAUUCCAAGUACUCAAUCAAGAUCUGGUAAACCUACUAAUCAUUGUAUUAUUUGGUAAACCUACUAAUCCAAAAAUAAAUAAUCUAUUGAUUACCAUAAGACUACUUGACAAGAUAGAGAUGCCUACUGGAAAUUUAUUAGGGGUACAAAGAUGUUCUUCCUAGUGCCUUCUUCUUCUUGGUAUCUUCUUCUUUCUUUAGAGCAAAAGAUGAAAUCAUGGGUCCGCAGCUGGUGGCCAGCAGUGCAAACUGGUGGCGAGUCACAUCAGGAGGACGGCUGGAAUCAUUGAUGGCUAAAUUGUUCUUUCUUCUACUUUGUUCUGUGCUUCCUUUUCUUCCUAUAUGUCCUACUUAAUGCACCACAAUUGGCCAUCGUUGAGUGGGCUAAACAUGUCACCCAUUUCUACCUGUAUCCAUUUGGAAACUCGUUCUUCAUUCAAUAUGGUGCAUCACUCACCCAAAGCAACUUCAUAAUUUUGGAAAGAAUAGGAAGAAAAAAGAGAGAGAAAUGAAUGUUGAUUUCCUGGGUCACAAGGGUGAAGUGAACUUGGUAUCCCUGGAGGUAAGUUUGUAGAGGUCACCUGAGGCUAAGAAGAGUAAAUGUGUGUGAUAUAGCAGCAUCAUUAAUGCCAACUUUUUGUAGGUAUGAGUCAUAUUUUUAUGUUCUCUAUUGUAUGCAUUUAGAUAUGGUUGUCAUAAAUAUCAUUCAACUUCAUCUUCUUCUUUGAAACCUUGUUGUGCAAGCAGCUCCAGCUUCAAGAGCAAUUGACUUGAGCAACAAAGUGUCUGUGAUUGGAUGAAAUAUUUCAUAAAAGUCCUACCAAAAUGUGCUUCUUCAAUACACAACAAAGGAUUUACUUACUGGCAACAAAGGACAUGUUUUGCCAACUCAGCAGGACAUGUUCACUGUUACUCUGUCCUUUGUCUUCCUGAUUUCCUAUUUACUUUCAUUUUGACCCAAAGUCAAAAGGAAAUCUACUUUCCUACUCUCUCUCACUUCAAUAGUUGACUUCAACUUGGUGCAUCUUGCAAUCCAACCCAAACUGGUCCGAUCACAGCAACUACAUGCAUGAAGUUGUCCAUAAACAUCAUUUAUUGUGAUCCAAGAAAAGGAUACACCACUCUCAUUUUUAAUUAUAUAGAUCUCAUUUGAGGAGUUACAGAGAGUGAUGACAAGACCUUCCCUGCUUUCCUCUGGUACCAAGGAGUAUCUUUACCCACCUGCCGCAAAAACUUCCAUCAGUUUCCAUUCUCUUUCACCUUGGUCUGCUUUCUGCCAUUAAAAGCUCUUAUGGGAGCAAUAACAAUAAUCAUGUCUGCUCCCUCCUUUGUCCUUGUCACUCAUGACUCUCCUUUCGUUGCUUCCUCUGUGCAGCAGUACACUGUAACUCUUCUCUAUCCACUUCCAAAAUCUUUGGUUCUCCUGUUCUGAACACCAAUUUUCCUUUUGGUUCUCCUCUCCAUGUACCUGUAACAUGGUGUGCUAACUUUACUUUGGCAGCAGCAUAGUUCCUUCCAAUAUCUUCCCUUUCUUUCCUCACGCUUCGUGCAAAGAUCCAAUGGAGGCUUUUUCUUCGUUAAGAUUCUCAUGAGCUCUCAGUCUUUCUGUCAUCCCAAGUAGUGGUGAUGUAAGAAAUAGGGACUCCAAAGAAAAAAGAAUGCUAUCUACCCCUUUCUUUCACCUUUUGGGUCUUAGUUUCUCUUUUCUAAAGGUCUGAGAGAAGAAACAAUGGAUCUUCUCCCUUCUUCUCCUUCUCUUUCUACUGUUGUAUGCUUUGGCCUCGAGGAAAGAGAGGGAACGGUGGGGGUUUCGGUUGGAAUGGGGAGAAGCUGCGGUGGGUUGCUUAAAGAGCUUCAGGUUGUUUCUUCUUGUCUUUCUGUGUAUAUGGAUGAAAAAUGAGACAUGGGUUUGUGUUUUGGGUGUUCUCUUGUUCUUUGUUUCUAUAAUUAGAGGUGAAAUCUUGAAGUAUCAUGUUUCUAGAAUUUCUAGUUUGGAGUAAUAUGUGAAGUUCUAAAUAAAUUUUAGUUUGCUAAUGAGCUAUUCUAAUCAAACAUCAGAUAAUUUCAUCUUUCUAUGGUAAACCUGGCUGAAGACUUGGAUGAAUUAUGUAGAUUAUUCUUUUUGUUUUCUUGGGUUGAAAGUAAAUGUUUGUUGGGGAAAACCACUUCAAUCUGCAGUACUUAUGAUAUGAUCUUACAUUCUGCUUUCCUUUUUGCAAGAGAGCAGCAAAUUUGGGAAGAGAUCGGGGAGAGUGAGGCAGAAAAAGAACGAAUGUUGUUAGAAAUAGAAAGAGAAUGCUUGGACAUAUAUCAGAGAAAGGUUGAUGAGGCCAGCAAGGCUAAGGCACAUCUACAUCAGUCUGUCGUUGCAAAGGAAGCAGAGAUUGCAGCUCUUGCGGCCUGCCUCGGGGAACAUACAGUCCAUGCAAAGGUACAUUUCGGUAUGCAAAUUUGUGUGUGGUUUCGGUGCUAUUUGUAAUUAUAUGAGUUCAACUAACACAGACUAUAAAUAGUUUAGAUGCUAUUUGUGAUCAAAUUACUGAUGCUAAGCUUCAUCAUGCACACAUAUGAACACUUGAUUCUAAUCAAACUCGUAGUUCAAACUUCAAAGUCCUUAAUUGGAGUACUGGUAGAUCGAAUGCUAACAUUGUAAAUUAAACUAUCUAAUCCUGUUUCUCCUCCAAUAUUGUGAAAGUUACCACUCGGUUAAUGAGGCAUGUCUAUGGAAUUAGACAAACCAGGGAUUUUAGUUUGCAUAAUUUGGAUGUCGUAAAUCUUGAUAAAACUGGAAAGAAUGUUCUCUGGAUUCUGUAUGGAGAUCAAAUAGAAUAUUUUGUUUGUGUUGGCUUCUAGUGUUCCAAACUUUGAAACAUUCAGAAUUGGCAUGAUAAAGGUGCUAUUGUUUUAUAAGAAAUUUUCACCAUCACUGGAUCAUUUUAUUCACCUUUUCGACCAUAGCCCUUCAGCUAUUGCGUGCAAGGAAUUUCUGUUGCGUAAUAUAUAGCAUGAUUCUAAAUUUUUGAAAAUUGUGUUAAUAUCGUGUAUGACUAGUUUACUAACAUGUCAAUUAUAUUAUGACCUUCUGAAUACAGAAAGACAACAAACCAGUGUCGAUAAAGGAACAACACAAUUUAGUCGCAAAUACGUUGGAACAUCUGAGAACAAAGAAAGAGGAAAGGGUCAAAAAAUUUGCUGAUGUAUUAUUGCAGAUUGAGAAGAUCAGUGUUGAGAUUAGGGAAUAUGCACAUCAGCAUGAUACCAUGGAAGGUCCUGUUGUUAUGGAUGAACAUGACCUCUCAACGAGGAAGCUUGAUGAAUACCGUGCACAACUUCGUGCCCUCCAGAAGGAGAAGGUAUUUGUUUUCUGAUAUGAAGAUCAAUUGAAUUUAAUAUUGAAUGUUUGUUUUUGAACUUUGAUAUGGGAACUUUUGCAACCGCUUAUAGUAUUUCAGUCAUUGACAUCACUACAACAGACUUGUGAGUUGCAGAGAUAACUUGAACUUCAUGUCCUAUUCAAAAGUGGAAGAGAUUAGAUGAAAUAAUCUAUUAGUGAUAAAACUGCAAUUAACUAAAUAUUCAAGUAAGUAUUUCAUUUGAAAAUCAUGUGGCACACAAUUGUAUGUGAGUCGUAAUACAGCUUGAGUCUUUACAAGUCAGAAUUUGAAUUUGAGCAGAAAGGCUCAAAUUGAUAUGUUGACAGCGUACUCAGAGAGAUUCGAAUAAAACCAUAGGUAACAGGACAACUUUGAUGCCUAACAUUUUCCAAACUUUGGCAAAUCAACAUUUUAAGGAUUUUGUGCAACUUGAUAUGUAUCUUAUGUCCAAUAUGACACUAUGUUCUCCUAUAGCAUUCAAAUAGUGACGAAUUUGCCUUCAUAUCUGUGAAGGUUCCCAAUGGAAGAUUUUCCAACCAAAAUUUUGCACCUAAAAAGAAAAAAAUCAAGUUUGUUGGUCCAGAAUCAAAAUUUCACAUUUUCUUCUCUCAUGAUCUAUUGAUUAUUCAGUACUUGGCAUUACUUCCUUACUCCAAAGUUGUUCUUCUCAUACUCCUUUACAAGUUCAAGAUGAGAAUUAUAUGUGUACCUUGUCAUUAGCGAAUUCUGCAUUUCAUGAUUGUCAUGUGCAUGAUGACUGUUGAUCUAUUUAUGCAUCAAAUGUACUACUAAUCACCAACAAUUGUCUAUGUUCAAGUCUGAUCGCCUUCAAAAGGUUCUGGAGUAUGUAAGUGAGGUUCACUCUUUAUGCGGCGUACUUGGGCUGGAUUUUAGGAAAACAUUAGAUGAAGUUCACCCCAGUUUGCAUGAUGCUCAUCCUGAGCAAUCUACAAAUGUUAGCAACAACACCCUAGAAGGUCUAGCUCAAGCAAUCCUGAAGCUGAAAGCAGAAAAGAAGAUUCAAAUUCAGAAGGUAACAAGAAAUUAUUUCCUGUCACCUUUCUUUGUUCUUUUUGGUUCCUGUACUUAAUAUCAUUACAGUUUUUUAUCUGUAGUUGCAAGAAACAAUGGAUUCGUUAUUUGAACUAUGGAAGUUAAUGGAUUCAUCACAAGAAGAAAGGGAGCAUUUUGAAAAGUUAGCACACAUCCUCGAGUCACCGGAAGAUGAAAUCACUCACAUUGGUUUACUCUCACAUGAAACAAUCGAGAAGGUCUGGUAAUUAGUACUAAUUAGAGUUCCCUUGUUAUCCCCAGAACAGUUGAACUAGCUUUGUUACAUCUGCAUCUUGUGUUUGACAGAUAGAAUCCGAAGUUUGUAGGCUGUCUAAAUUAAAAGCCAGCAGAAUGAAACAACUUGUUCUAAAGAGACGGGUAGAACUGGAAGAGGAAUGUAGAAGAGCACAUACUGAACCCGAUGCAAACACAGCAACAGAGAAAAUCACUGCAUUGAUCGACUCUGGUUUGUCUUUUAUUCUUUAUUAAUGAAAAUUGAGACCACUCUGACAAUUCUUUUCUUUGUCAUGAUUUUUAGAGAAGGUUUAUUAGGGUCUUACAUUAUCAGA